rnacentral:lncRNA from 1 species
UUCAAACAAAAAACCCACCAAAGAAAAAACCCAGCUUUUUUUUUUUUUGUCUUCCUUCUUCAGUAGUUAGUGUACUGCAGCAAGCGUCCGAAAAUCAGUUGCUGUAAGUAAAUUUUUGGGGACUUUGUUGUCUCUUCUCUUCUCCCCUUUCCUUUGUUUUCUUUUUUAUAGAUUCAACUUAAUUUGGCUCCUCCUGCUUCUAAGCUUCCUUCAACCCAUUUCCUUUGUCUUCUUCAGCUCAAUUACCAGCACAAAAAAGGGAGAGACUUUCCCCCUUCUGUGAGUCAGCUAGUUUGCAUAUUUUGGCUAACAGACACACAGCAGAGAGAUUCAAAUUUGGUCGUUUUUGAAACAUCCCAAAAACAAUCCAUAUAAUCCUUAAUUUGAGGAUAUAAACAAAAGAUGAUGUCUUCAGGUGGUGGAGAUCCUUUCUCACUCACUCUUCCUCCAUUUUUCCCUCCUUUGCAACAUGAGCAAACUCAUCAGCUUCCUCCUCUUCCUCCGCCGCCUCCCGCCUCAGCGAACCCUAACCCUAACCUUACCAGCAGCAACAACAACAGAAAGAAGAGAAACUUACCAGGUACCCCAGGUAUAACAACAUUUUCCCCCUUUUCUAAUUCCUUCUUAUAGUCGUAAUUCGACUAGUUGAUUUGGCCGGUGAAAAGUUGGAUAAAGCCAGAUAGGAAGUUUAGACUCUAAACAAUAUGAAUUUGGAUGGCUAACUUUUUUAUUGCAAUCUAAAUUAUGUUCAGAUUUCCAUCAGCCAAAUCGAGGCUUCGUAUAACUAAGCAUCAUGGUUGGAUUUGUCAUCCUAGCUUGAUCGAUCUCGGUUUUUUUUUAUGAUAGAUCCAGAUGCGGAGGUCAUGGCGCUAUCUCCAAAAUCUCUCAUGGCGACCAACAGGUUCCUUUGCGAGAUAUGCAACAAAGGGUUCCAGAGGGACCAGAACCUGCAGCUACACAGGAGAGGACACAACCUGCCGUGGAAGUUGAAGCAGAGGAACACCAAAGAACCCAUAAGGAAGAAAGUCUAUAUAUGUCCCGAGAAGACCUGCGUCCACCACGACCCUUCUCGAGCUUUGGGAGACCUUACAGGGAUCAAGAAGCACUUCAGCAGGAAGCACGGCGAGAAGAAGUGGAAGUGCGAGAAGUGCUCGAAGAAGUACGCCGUGCUGUCCGACUGGAAAGCCCACUCCAAGACCUGCGGCACCCGCGAGUACAAGUGCGACUGCGGCACCUUGUUCUCCAGGUAUGUCUAUAUAAAUAAAUCACACUGAAUUAUAUUCAAUACGAAAUAAUGGAUUUAGUCAGUAACAAACAGAAUGAUGCUCAUUUAAUAACUUCAUUUAUUUCUUCUUCUUGUGAAGUUACGAGGUAGAUGUGUUGCAAUAAAUAUGUCUGAGUCUUUGUAAUUUAAUUUGUGACAGGAAAGAUAGCUUCAUAACACAUAGAGCUUUCUGUGAUGCGUUGGCCGAUGAUAGCUUGAGGUUCAAUAGUGCUAAUGCUGCUGCUGCUGCUUCUGCUACAAAUCUGAAUUUCGAGAGUAUUGGUAAUAAUACUCAAAAUGAUAAUAAUCCGAGUCAGCUGCCACGUCACCACCAAGGGUUUCAUAAUCAAGAUAUGAAUUCUCAAUUUGGCAAUUUCAUCAACUCCUUGGCGGCCGGGAACCACAACGGUAUGAAUAUGAUGAUGACGAUGAUGCCGAAUAAUAAUAGUACUAGCACUAACGGCAGUUACUUAACGGACGAGAUGGUUCAAAUGGGAAGGUCGUCGUCGUCAACGGGAUCAGGAAUGAAGGAAGAAGCGUUACCGUCAUUGUACUCCAGCCAGAUGAUGAGUCACGAAAACAAGCAGCAGCAAUCCAACGGUGGGAGAUCGCCCAUGUCGGCUACCGCGUUAUUACAAAAGGCAGCUCAGAUCGGUUCCACCAGAUCGUCCUCCAGCGGCGGUGGUACCAUUGUUAACAACACCCAGCAGUCGUCUCUCUUCGGAAUGACGAAUAUGCCCCCACCGAUGGAUCAGAAUUCAUUUGAGCAGCUUAUGAUGAUGCAAGGAAGCGGCAAGUUACAAGGAGUUGGAAUCAUGGAGUCGAUUAUUAAUAAUAAUGAUAACCAUCAAAAUAAUAAUAAUAAUAAUUACACGUCGGAUUCGAUGGAGAGCAGGUUGACGAGGGAUUUCCUGGGGAUGAGUGGCGGGAGGCCGUUUCUACAGCAGGAAAUAGCGAGGUUCGCUAACUCGAUGAACUCUUCGUCCUCGUUGGGGUUUGCAGCUACCGCAUCAGGGAAUCCCUUGUGAGCAUUGUGACGAGGGCGCGGUGGGGUCGGAGUGAAAAAUGGACUCGUGAAUGGACAGUGAUGGGGAAAGGGGCGGUCCCGUGGGGUGGGGGCCAUGCAUGGCUUGAAAUGACAAAACAGUGAUGGCAACUCCCAAGUCAUGCACGUUGUCGUUGCUGUUUUAGUUGUCGUUUUUGUUGUUUUGCCUUUUGCUCAUUUUCUGGCCUUCCUGUCCUCUCAGUUUCCUUAUCGUAUACUUGCCCUAUUUUAAUUAAUUAAUUAAUUGAAAAAAACUAUAUUAUAUAUAUCAUAUGGUAGUUUCUAUUUUUAUUGUCUUGUUGUUUUCUGCUCCAGCGAAUUAUUAUUGGGGUCUGGACUAGUCUUCAGAAACAGAAUAUAUUUAAAUUAUUAUUUUUUGUAUUCUAGGGCACGGAAAACCAUGCCUGCAAUUGUUGACUCAUCGUCAACACUAGCUAGUCAGUCAGUCGGCCGGCCGACCUGUAUCGUCAAGCUUUGUGUGCUUUCAUACCACCUACCUGAUAGAUCACAAGAAGGGUAAAAACAAAACCAGUGAAUCACGUAUGUAGUAGUACAGUAGUAUGUCGUCUGGUCAUUUUCGUAUUCUCUCUUCCAUUGUUUGUGUUUAGCUGUUGUUCUUAUAAACCCUAAAUCUUAGCUUCUCCGAUUACCGAAACAAAAGAGGGGGGGCCAAGAAAUUGUCACCUUAUCGAAAAACAAAACUAAUGAUGUUUCACCAAAAGGUUUGACCUUGCGGAAAAGAAAACUUCGUGGCGAUAUGCUAAAAGGGAAACACAAAAAGAGUCCUCCUAUAAGUAACGUGAUUAAUUUUUCUAGGUAACUUAAGCACGAGUUGUGAUAGAUUGUUUAUUUGUCAGUUAUCAUUUAGACCUCCUUCAGCCUUUAGGUACUAUAUAUCAUUUAUAAAAGAAAAAAAUUACCAAUCACGCACUCUGACAAAAAUAUAACUUUAGAUCCGUGGAGAACAAAAAAGGCGUCGUCCUCGCGAUUUAUUUGAAUUACUCGAAGCUUUUGCACCUUAAUCAACGUCAAUAUGUACGAAAUAGAAUCCCAUCUACCAGCCAAGAAAAUAUCAUUAAAAAGAUUACAGUUCGUGUGUCGUACGUACGCAAUUUUCAUAAGCUCGCUUUCAUUACGUACCGAAUCCACACUCCACGCUAUUCCGAACAAGAUUUUGGCUUCGAGCUUCUUCUCAUCCAUCCAAAUAAAGAAGAACCAAUAGCCACUUUCCCUUUCUUGGUUCCUUAAUUAACCCCCCUCCCGAACUCAAGAUCAAACACCACCAAAAGGGUUUGACCUUGGCAAAAGAAACGCUACUUUUCAAUAAUUUGCAUAUAUAUAUAUAUCUAAUAGCUAGGUAGAUUUUGUAGGGCAGCUCUGUGGUAACUUGGAAAGAAAGUGGAGUUGGGGGGGGGGGGUGGUUUAUUUACCCCCUUUUCAGGAUUCAUAGGCCUUGUCUCUCGAAUGAACAAAAGGUAGCUUGUGUUGUGGAGCCAUGACGAUCCUUUCAAAGCAUAAAGAAGGCUGGGAGGUAGAGUGUGUGAAAGUUGAAAACAAACUCUUUAUGCAUAUAGAUCAGUUAUUUGUAAUGAGUAGUGCCUUUUUACGGGUACUUGCUAAUAACGACCAGCUUUUCGGGACCCUGCAUUACAGAACCCCUGUUUUUCUUCGUUUUUUUUCAUUAUAAUUUAAUUAAACCGGUGAUCUUAAUCAAUUGUUUCUCGACGGGGACAGCAAUUAUCUCUACAAACAUGCAACAUUGGAUACCAUCUUUAAUUUCCUCAUUCCCAUGCAACGAAAUCUUUUAGUAAGUCAAUGUGUUGUGUUUUUUUUUUUAAAUAAUGUUUUAACACAUUCUUUGAAGCUGGUUUCUCAUCGGGUCAUGUAAAGAAGGUUUUCGGGUUUAACGUAUAAUACUUUUGUCUCGGAAUCCAACAUCCACUUGAUGCAUGUGUUUGAAAAUCGACCGAACCGCUUCAAAUUUGCCUGCUUUAUGUUGUCUGGGUGAACAAAUGGGAACUGCAUUUAAUGCUAGCUCCCUGAAUUGAAUCAACAUUAAUGGGUCAUAGAGAACUUCAAUCUCUAAAAUGUUAAGAAAUGCAAUUCAGUCCAAUUAAUUGUAAACUGUGCUUAGACAUGAUGCCGAUGAUCCUAUUACAAAUGAUUGUACAUAUAUGUGGAUGUCAUCACUGGACAACAAAUCGUCGGGCCAUCAUGGUGAUUAACUGAUCAUCCAAUUUAUACAUGUUUGCAAGUUGCAAGACUUGGGACAUUAAACACAGUAGAUUAAAUCAUCAAGGUUACAAAAUAAUAAAUGUUUCCUUGUGUUUAUACCAUAAUUGUAUUAACUUGAAGAUUGAUAUUUAAGUAUACUAGUGCAAAUGAUCGAUUUGGUUUGAUUUUGAAUUAGAGCGCAAAGCUCGGUAGUUUGUUACACAGUGUGUAACACAUUCACUUUCAAACCAUUAUGUAAGUGUUUGCACUCUUGAUCAAUGUGUAUAACUCAUUCCAUUUGUAAUUGUUUUCUACUCUUGAUCAAAUGUAUACCGCAAUCAUUUUGACAAGAUUAAUCGAUUAUGUAAGGAUCUGUUUACUAUCAAUUUCAAUUCCAAUUGCAAAUUUUAGCUAAUUUGAAAUUUUAAGAAAUUGAAAUUAUGUUUAGUUGUUGUUAUGAAAAAAACUUAGUAACGGAAAUUGGAAUUAUGGUUACCAAUGAAAUUUAAGAAACUUAUAAUAUCUAUUUACAGUUCCAAACUAUCAAAUAUAAAUGAAACUCUAAACUCAAUCAAUUAUUAUUAUUAUUAUGGCUCCACAUUUAAUUUGCGACUAUGUCGCACUUUUCUGCCAUUUCUCGCACUUGAGAUGGUAUAAACCUAAAUUCCGUACGCACCAUAGCUCCACCUGCUCUUGCUUCGCCACCAGAAUCUUGAAAUUGAGAAAAUAGAGAGUCUUCUUUAGCAUGCAUCCUGAUAUAAUUAUGAAUUGUACAACAUGCAAUAACAACCAGAGUUUGCUUCCUUUAAAUGUAAUUGCACAUAUUUUCAAGAUUGAAAAUCUUUUCUUCAAAACACCGAAACAAUGUUCGAUAACAUUGCGUGGACUGGAAUGUCUAUAAUUGAAUAGUUCUUCCCGACCUUUUGGUCCACCUCGACGUCUCAUCUCCUAAAAAUGAGCCGUACAACCCCGAUAUGGUGCUAAAAAUCCAGAUAUAUUUGAAUAUCCAGAGUCUACAACAUAGUAUUUUCCUAAACAUAAAAUGAUAGGUGAAAUAAUUAAAAAUUGUGUAUUUAAAUUAUAAUGAAGCUAAACAAACGAUACCUAAAGGUGGCAUAGGAAAUUGAUUAUUAGAAUUGGAAGCCGUCUCUGAUAAGAUUAUUGAAUCAUUUGCAGUUUCUUCCCACCCCGCCAUUACGUAAAUGAAAAACAUGUCAAAAAAGCAAACAUACAUUACGUUAUGUAAUAUUACCUUGAGCUAAGGAACUUUCUCUUCAAGAGCACGUCUCUAGACUGGAACUUCAAAGAGGAUGAAGAACCCUUUAAUUCAACGAUACUUGGAAAAUAAAUAGGGUUCUGCGUAAAAAAUAUAUGCAUAAGAAAAGGUAUAAUGAAAAAAUAUAAUAUGGGGAAGGUGGGAUUUGAACAAGAAUAAGUUUUAAUAAAAUUGGGAAAGAAUCUCAUGUUUCUAUAUUCCAAAAUUUAAUUUGAAAAUUUUUAAAGCCACUUUUUUCACUUUCUAUUUAAGGGUAAAUUUCAAAUUUCAAUUUGAAAUUAAAAUGAGGUAAUUUUCAACUAAAUGAAAUUUUCUUUUAAAUUUGAAUUUUGAAAAAUUGAAAUUGGAAUUAUAUAGAAUAGAAUUCAUAAUAAACGGGGGCUAAGUCUUUGUCACUCUUAGUCUUGAUUUCACAAGGGUUUCUACUCAUUGGGCCAUAAGACACAGCUCUCGGAGUAUAUGAAUGCCCAUAAUAUUUUUGUGAAGCGAAUAUUUGGACUUCAAGUUAGGCCCAAAGAUAAAUCAUUGAUUCACUUCUUGAAAGCCCAAGAGAAGCUUUACCCUUGCCCCUUUAAGUGUCACCCAAUUGGACGAGCCCAAAACCAAGUAACUCUGAGCUAAUCAGUAAAAUGGACCGGCCCCAAGAAAUGGGGAUCUGGAUUCAAAGUCCACGAGCUAACACAGCGGACUGUCAACGUGGAAACAAAUGAUAGGUUGAAGCUACGUGGUACAACAAACUAAAGUUCGUAUACCUACGUGGCGCUUUCUCUCAGAGUUUCUUCGUUUCUUCAGUUACCCGCAGGAGAAUCCGGAGAAAGAAAAUUAAAAAUUUUCCACGAAAUUGUCGAGCUUCUUCGCGCUUCUCUACUCUCCUUCUUCCUCCUCUUCUUCUUUAGUUCUUCUUCCAUAACUUUAUUAGAAGAAUGAAGCAGUGCUAAGUUGAUUACAUGAGAUUGAUUUCCGCAAGCUGAGAUUGCUUGAAGCUUAACUGAAGGAUACAGAGAGGAUGAUGAAUCUAGUUAAGCAUUCAUGGGCGGUGGCGCAGGAUGGAGUGGCGUGGAGAGGGAUAGUGUACACAAUCUUCAUUCUGCAUUUCGUAUUCGUUUGCCAGCUCCUUCUUCUCCAACCUCUCGUCUCCGCUUCUGGUAAUCUUUUCCUUUUCAAUUUGUUUAAUUUGUGUUAAAUUGAAUCCGAUAUGUGUUGGUUGCAAAUGAAUUGGUUUUACUGGCGAUGCCCGGAUCCUACUUCUCUAGCUCGCUUUCCUCAAAAAUACCGCUACUAUUUAGGAUUCACUUGAUUGCAAUUGUGCUACUUUGCCAACUUACUGAAAUGAAUGUGUUUCGAUAGUUUAGGUCAAUAAUCAUCGCUCGAUAGCGGGAUUUAGAUAAAUGAUUCAAGGAAGUGUGUGUAAAAGAUCAUUAAUUUCUCAUCAUUCAAGUUAGGGGGGAGAUUUUCUACCUUUUUAGUCCUUUUAGUCCACAGUUGAUGGUUUUUCCAUGAAGAGUUGCUUACAUGGUUUCAGUUGCUACAGAUACCAAAACUAAAAGUACUGCGGAGUUGUUCGACAGAGUUUCUCAAAGUGUAAAAGUCAAGCGCUAUAGUGAUGCACUUGAUGAUCUGAACUCUGCUAUUGAGGCUGAUCCAUCGCUUUCAGAAGCAUAUCUUCGGCGUGCGUCCAUUCUUCGUCAAAUAUGCAGGUUUGUGCUAACUCACAUUGCAUUCACAAACUUCCAGCCGCUACCUUUUGCUCUAACCACAAAAUAAUUUUCAUUGGUUUGUAGAUAUGAUGAAUCAGAAAAGAGCUAUCAGAAGUUUCUGGAGCUGAAACCUGGACACGCAGCUGCAGAAAAGGAGCUUUCUCAGUCAAAUCAAGCAAAGAGUGCCCUGGAUACAGCUUUCACUCUUUUUAGCUCCGGGGAUCACUCAAAAGCCUUGGAGUUUGUUGAAAAAGUUGUGCUUGUUUUCUCUCCAGCCUGCUCUAAGGUACCAUUUUUCAUGCUUCAUUGGAUUUACUUGUCACUGUUGGCUUAUGGAAGUACGUUUACACAAAUGAAGUAUUGUGGCCAAUGACGUUGGAUAUGAUUACAGGCAAAAAUACUCAAGGUGAGGUUACUGUUGGGUGUUAAAGACUUUUCUGCUGCCAUCUCUGAAAGCGGACGUAUUCUGAGGGAUGAUGAAAGUAAUCUAGAGGCGCUCCUGCUCCGUGGCCGUGCCUACUACUAUUUAGCAGACCACGAUGUUGCCUCGAAGUGAGUAUUUUAAGGAUGUCGCCUUGAGCUGUUUUGUGAGAUAUUAGUGGUUGCCUUCUCAUAAACAGAUUAUUUCUUCUUUAGGCAUUAUCAAAAAGGUCUACGUCUUGAUCCGGAGCAUAGUGAACUCAAGAAAGCAUACUUUGGGUUGAAGAAUUUACUAAAAAAGACCAAAAGUGUGAGUUCACCAACUUUGGAGUUUCCUUCUUUUUUCCAGGCAAUGCAAUCUACUUCCUUUCCUAGCAAAAGCUGUAACCAUUGUCAGCCACUUAUUUCUCUUCUAUUUUCUUUCCAGGCUGAGGAUAAUGCAAACAAGGGUAAACUGCGAGUGGCAGUGGAGGACUACCGAGCAGCACUAACCUUGGACCCUGACCAUCUUGCACAUAAUGUCCAUCUUCAUCUGGGUUUGUGCAAGGUCCUUGUUAAGCUUGGUCGGGGAAAAGAUGCUUUAGCAAGUUGCAACGAUGUUCUUAGUAUAGAUGAAGAUCUUCUUGAAGCUUUAGUUCAGGUAUGUCAAGAUCAAUCUGAUCUGCUGUGAUAAAAAGUAUCAAGCUUUUCAAUUUGAUGAUCGUUCUUGCGGUGAUUUUUUCAGAGGGGUGAAGCUAAACUCCUAACAGAAGACUGGGAAGGAGCUGUUGAGGAUCUGAAAUCAGCAGCUCAACAAUCUCCCCAGGUCAGUUCAUCUUUGGUGGUUUUUGCUUGCUGUAACUGCGUCUGUUCAAAAACUUAAUUAUGUGUGUUCUGUUAUCUCCAGGAUAUGGAUAUUCGCGAAGCCCUGAUGCGGGCAGAGAAAGCUCUCAAGAUGAGCAAGCGAAAAGACUGGUAUAAGAUUUUAGGCGUGUCGAGAACCGCUUCCAUAGCUGAGAUAAAGCGUGCCUACAAGAAACUUGCUUUGCAAUGGCACCCUGAUAAGAAUGUUCAGAACGGAGAAGAAGCAGAGAACAAGUUCCGAGAAAUAGCUGCAGCAUACGAGGUAUGAUUUUGAAGUGUUCAGUCCAAACAGUAAGCUACAAAGUUGCAUAUUUGACAUUGGUCUCUGACGUUUUGCGUUACCAUGUCCAGGUCCUUGGAGAUGAUGAGAAGCGUGCAAGAUUCGACAAUGGAGAAGACCUUGAAGACAUGGGGAUGGGCGACGGUGGUGGUAACCCUUAUGGUGGUGGCCAGCAUUUCUCAUUCCAGUUCGAUGGAGGCUUUCCGGGCGGUUUUGGUGGGUUCGAUGGAGGAUUCCCUGGCGGAGAUGGUGGUGGUUUUCAGUUUCAAUUUUGAGCCUCCUGAUUUCAGCCAAGCUUAUAAAAGAGUCGUUCGUUCUUGUGGCUCUGCAACGAAAACUAACUUAACUAACCCUGACCAGAUAGAACUCUUCUUUGACCAGAACUGGCAUCAUAGGACAGAAAGUUUUGUUUCAUAGCUAUGAACUUGUUUGUGUUCUUUCAUGAAGGCUGAAGCUGCAGAGAGCUACCAAGUCCACUGUGUAAUGUGUGAUAUUUGUGAAUUAGCUUGUUUGUUAAGGAAUUGGCUACCCAGUUGUAAGCAUUCAAUUACUAAUCUGAACAGAAGAUUUUCUGAUUGGAUCACAAUAAUUGAGCAUAUGAAAUUACAAAAUCUGAUUGCAACAAGAUCACUCGCAAUCAAGGCACAUUAUAUUACAUACUGAAACAAAAUAACAAAAAAAGAAAACAAAAAGAAUGAAUCUUUGGACUUAUGACAUGCUUGCCCAAUAAGGAACGUUUGAAAUCUCAUACUUGCUGCACAAGGAACUCAUAACACAAGGACAGCUGCAGCAAAAGCCAUCAAACCAAGGGAUACAACUCUUCCUUCACCGCCAGAAGCAUCGCCAGGGGAAUCGUCUGCAUUCCCAGCUGUGGGAGCCUUGGAAGUGAGAGCCUUCCCGGACUUGGUCGGAGCCGGAGCUGGUGCAGCCGACGAACCAAAGAUAUCCAAGGGCAAGAGCACCUUGCUCACUUGGUAAACAACGAGCUGGCCGUCAGUGUACAAUGUGUUGUCCACAUUAGCAGUAUCGACUCCGGUCGUGACGUUCACUUGAGUCCCCGAAGUGGUCACGUUGAGAGGGAACUUCCCGUUGGCGCUGUCGCCAGCCUGGGUCCUCAGAGGGUUGCUCACGGUCUGGAACUGGGACAUGGAGAUGAAAGUUGGGAGGAUGUGGAACUGGAUCAGCUGCACUUUCUGCUGAUCCGAGAGGGAGUUUAGAGUUCCGGCUUUGAGGCUAGUGAACGCGUUGUCUGUAGGAGCGAAGAUGGUGAGGCCCGAGCUCGAGCUGCUGUUCAACUGAGUGUUGAUUUGGUCGGCUUCUUGGGUGGUCUUCAUCAGCUUGAUCAAGGUCGUGAACUGGCCGGCCUUCUCUAAGAUGGCUGUGAUGUUGGCAGGGCCAGAGGGGCCUGGCGCAGGGGAUUGCGCAUAUGAAAUGGAGCAGUAGAGGAAAAAGAAGAACAAGAACAUGAAUGGAGAUUGAAGUCGGCUCCUCAUUGUGGCUUGUUUCAACUCCUGUCUUUUUGUUCUUAGUGUGUUGUAUACUUUUGCUGAGAAGGGAGUGUAUGAGUAGAGAGAAUAUAAGGAGUAAGAUUGGAAUUUGGAGGGGCUGUGGUGUAAGGUGGAGAUAGUGAUCGUGGUGGUUAAAAAGUUAGGUGAAAGGGUCCCAACUCCUAUAAGGUGAGGGGGGGAGGGUUUUGAGCAGAAAAAAGGUUGUUUAGUUGGUUAUGGGAAAGGGAAGUGGAAACCCAGAGAUAUUGCUUUGGAUGCCAGGAAGUAUAUAUUGUAUUUUGCCCUGUGGGUGUCUGUAAUAAUGAUGGAAUUUCUGAUGUUAUUCAGCCUUUCUUUCCAUCUGAUGAUAGUUUUGAGUAGGGACACUAUGUACAAAUUUGGGAUGCUUCUAAGUUACGGGGGGUGUUGGCUAAAUGAUUAUGCCAGCCAUGCAAUGCUGCUUUCUAUUCAAGGUAGGCUUUUUUUUGGGUGGUGGGUUUCACUCAUUCAUAUUGCAAGAAAAGGGUGAUUUGUAGGAAUGUUUACUUCAUAUCCGUUGCCUAAUUGAUGUUGCCAUUUGAAUUACCAUUUCAAUAACUAUAAUGAGAAUGGAGUACUGCUGCAGAAAGAUAUUUUUUAGUAUAACUCUGUCAAUUUUCAAACGAUAAUUCCUUUCCUGUCAUCAACGUGUCAUCAACACAUUGAUCUAGCAUUUCGGUAGCUGCUCGUAACUACUUACUACUAUUACAGUCUAUGUAGUUGAGUUUCCUCUUUACCAACAGUUAAGGAAUCAAGAUAAUCUAAAAUCGUACAAUAUAGAAUUUUAGAUUUAAAAGUCUUAACUUAUAUAAAAACUCAAUAUAAACUUCAACAUUUCGAAAAACUUGCAUAAAUUACCAUGGUUCUCAUAUCGGAGACCUAGAAGGUUGGUCCAUCCCAUUCCGCAUAUCCAUCUGAACUCGUCCUUCUGAGCACCUUGGCUCCUGGAAAUGUAAAGUUGGGCCGGCAACAUCAACGAUAUGGUAGGCUUUCAGGCCGGUGAUUAUUGCGGAUCACUAGACGUUAAGUAUGCUCCAGAUUGGGCCUAUUGUUUUCUAUCAAACAAAUUGGGCCUUUUGUUAUGUUUAUAACUUUAGAUACUAGACUUGUGACUACUUUUCUAUUAGAGUUCUCACUAAAUAUGGGCCACUAAAAUAAUGAGCCCAUCAGAGACUCCAUGGUAAUACUAUUUUUGCCAGUUGCAUUUGGAUAUUUGGAUCCAUUAACAUUUGUUGAAAGUAUUUAACACUAUAGUCGGAUAGGUGAGCCCUACACUAGAGAUUAAUGCAUCACUCAUCGCUGCCGUAGGAUAUGUUGACUUUGCUCCCUCGCUUAAGGCAGAGUCAGCCACUAUCAAAACGGCACCGUGGCACCAAGGCCCCUUCCUUGAUCUCCAUUGAAGACACAAACCAACAACAGGAGGAGUAAAGAACGAAGAAGAAAAAGAAAAAAAAACGCAAAUUACAAAGAGACAGAGACCAGAGCGAAAGAAGAGAGACAUAUAGAGGAAAGAGCAGCUGCGAUUUCAGCGGCCUAUUAUAUCUCUUGACAGUGGCGGAAGAGAAUCUUGCUCCGAUAAUUAGUUAGAAGCUGGGUAGGAGUGACGAGCUCCAGCGGGGGUUCUUUUGCCGUUAAUGAUCGAUCAGAUACUCUUAGGUGUACGCUAGCGAGCAGGGGGAGGCGGGGCGAAAUGAUCAACAGCAGUAACGGUAUGAUUUCGACGUCUUCGUCAGCGGCGGCAGCCAACGCCCAAUCGCCUGGAUUGAAGACCUAUUUCAAAACCCCGGAAGGGAGGUACAAGCUCCACUACGAGAAAACGCAUCCUUCUGGUCUCCUUCACUAUGCCCACGGCAAAACUGUCACUCAGGUUCUUCUUCUUCUUCCUAUCAUUGAUGUUGGUUUUCAUUUCUUCUUCGAUUGUGCUUUCGAGUUCAGAGAAUUGAUUUUGAAUUUGAUUAUGUUUGGAGCUUCAGGGAUUUGUUACUAUUGAUCUUGUAGGUCUGUUCUGGAUUGAUUCAAAUCAGUGUUUAAGAAUUUGGUGGUUCGGUUGUUUUUGUUGUUGUUUUUUUUCAUUUUCGUGCAUGUGAUGGCGAUGCAUUAAUUCUAGGGUUUCUUAAUCGCUUCCUAAUUCUUAAAAGUCAAAUGUCAGUCCUUUGGGUUGCCCCUGAUAAGAGGUUAAGUGUGGAAUCAUUCUUCAAUCACUUUACAUUGUCAGUUACUGAAACAAUGAACGACUUAAAUCGUCCUUUUUCAUAAACAAACUGAUGUGAUUAUGGUGAGCAGGUAACUCUAGCUAACCUCAAAGAUAAACCAGCACCACAGACCCCAACUUCUUCUUCUUCAACCUUCAGUUCUAGCAGCGGAGUGCGAUCAGCUGCAGCCAGAUUGUUGGGCGCUGGCAAUGGGAGUCGUGCACUUAGUUUCGUUGGAGGCAAUGGUGGGAGUAAAAGCGUUAGUGGUGCCAGUAGGAUUGGUUCCUUAGGGGUUUCAAGCUCAAGUAGUAGUGCUAUGAUAAAUCCAAACUUCGACGGGAAAGGGAAUUAUCUGAUCUUUAACGUUGGUGAUGCUAUUUUCAUAAGCGAUCUCAACUCUCAAGAUAAGGUGAGUUUAUGCUUGAGUUUCAUCCCUAUUUGUUAGCUAGCCGUGGUGUCAUCUUGAGAGACUCAAUGUUGUUGUUGUUGUUGUUGUUGUUGUUGUUGUUGUUGUUGUAUGUAGGAUCCAAUCAAAUCCAUCCAUUUUAGUAAUUCGAACCCCGUUUGUCAUGCCUUUGAUCCGGAUGCGAGGGAUGGACAUGAUUUGGUUAUUGGUUUGAGUUCCGGUGAUGGUAUGUUGUGUUGCUUUAUUUUGAGGUUGCGAUUAUUUUCUUGUGGAAUGUGCAUAUUGUCUAAACGUGACAUUCUAUUUCUGUAGUCUAUUCGGUAUCACUGAGACAACAGUUGCAGGAUGUUGGGAAGAAACUGGUUGGGGCCCUGCACCAUAACAAAGAUGGUUCUGUAACUAACAGGUAAGAUUUGCUACUGCACUCUUUAUUUUUUCCUAUUCAUUCAUGAGUAAAACCAUGCGUUCCUUAAGAAGUAGAUGAUGAUUCAUAGUUUACUGAGAGUGACUUAAUGGAUGAAAUGAUAUGUGAUGGUAAGUAUCAGGGCGAUAGCAGCAGUUGUAGUUUUCUUUGAUGGUUGAUUUUAUCAUUGCCAAUUCGGAAUGUCUUUUGUGCUAAAUUGUCUCUUGAAAAACUUAGUAAAAGAGUUGGUAUACUCCGUUCGAUAAUGUGCAGGUUUACUAAAUAAGUAGUCGUAUUACUGAUGUUCUGAUUGUUAUCUUUGUCUUUGGAGUAUGAAGCUGGCCAUUUCCUUUUUCGUCAACUCUGUAUUUCGAAUGUGAUUUACUGAAGGUGGUGGAAAAUGUCAGAGAAGAAGCUUGUUAUUACAUAGAAGCUCCACAUGUAUGGUACUUUAUCGGCCUAUCUUCUUUUUGACAGUCGUUGUACUAGUAUUGCAUGGGUGCCUGGAAGUGAUGGUGCUUUUGUUGUUGCUCAUGCUGAUGGGAAUCUAUUUGUGUAUGAAAAGGCAAGCAUCAAUUAUUAUAAGAACAGGGCAUCUCCAUUGAGUUUCUUACUUCAAUUUAGCUGUUUGCAGUUUCACUGUUCUGAUAUCAUCUAUAACUUUCUUUAGAACAAAGAUGGUGCAGGAGAUGCUUCGUUCCCAGUUGUCAAGGAUCAGGCCCAGUUUUCUGUUUCACAUGCACGUUACAGCAAGGUAAGUAGAAUAUUAUGGGGUCUAGAUCUGGUUGAAGCCAUCCGGAAUUAGACUUGUCUUCAAACAUAGGUUCCCAUACAUAGGCAUUUUCUGCUAGUAUGUGAUGUGUUGGCAAGAGGUUUUUAUACUCCUGUUCUUUGAGUAUAGCACUUGGAAGCUUGGGAACCUACCAUUAUGGUUUAAGUUACCUAGUCCUUUUCCAAGUAUCUUUAUUGAUUUUGGCAAACUGUAUGCAGAGUAACCCUAUUGCCCGGUGGCACAUUUGCCAAGGUUCAAUAAAUAGUAUUACUUUCUCCGCUGACGGGACCUACUUAGCAACUGUUGGAAGAGAUGGUAAAAGUCCACUCUCAUUCAUUGACAUACGAUCUUAUGUGCUUUUCUUUUUUGCCAUAAACUAUCGAUCCAUUGAGACCACUUAUCUGUGAAUGCAGGAUACCUUAGGGUUUUUGACUACACAAAGGAGCAACUUACUUGUGGUGGAAAGAGUUAUUAUGGAGCUCUACUAUGUUGUGCUUGGAGGUUAUUUUCCUGUUUGAAUUCCACUGCCUUCUUUUUCUUGCUCAGUUGUUAGUUACUACAUUGGUUUUGACAAAGUUCUUUUACCAGCAUGGAUGGGAAAUACAUUUUGACUGGUGGCGAAGAUGAUCUCGUUCAAGUUUGGAGUAUGGAAGAUCGGAAAGUUGUCGCAUGGGGUGAAGGACAUAACUCAUGGGUAAGAUGCCCGUGCCUUUUCUUCGGGGUAUCUCAACAGAAUUCUGACCGUCUUGUUUGGUUUCCAUGUUAUGUUUCUUGUGGCAGGUGAGUGGGGUGGCGUUUGAUUCAUACUUUUCAUCACCAAAUGCAGACGGUACCACAGAAACGGUAAUAUACCGGUUUGGUUCUGUUGGCCAGGUACACUGUUAAUUCUUUAUCCCAAAAUCAAACGACCCCUUUAAUUCUGUAUCUCAUCUUGGGAGUGGACUUUUAAAUUAGCAUGACAUACGAAAUGUAUGAUCUUUGCCUCUUUAGGUUUUACAUGAUAAAAAUGUGCUUAUAAUACAAAAGGUCAAUCGGCUUGAGAGUAGACUUUUUACCUGGACCUUCAAUAGAUCAUAUAGAUUAUUUGAAGUAUCAACAUGUAAGAGUCAUCCCAUCUGGAUGCUCAUUAGAUGACUUAUGACUCUCCAUCUCCGGAUCCCAUCAAAUUAGUCAAUGGAACUCGCGACGCUCCCAUAACUCCGUUUCUGGCUUCGUUUUGUGCACAGGAUACGCAGUUGCUGCUGUGGGACUUGGAAAUGGACGAAAUCGUGGUGCCACUGCGUCGAGCCCCCGGCGGUUCCCCAACUUUUAGUGCUGGCAGUCAAUCAUCCCACUGGGACAAUGUGAUCCCAGUAGGCACUCUACAACCCGCUCCGUGCACUCGAGACGUUCCAAAACUCUCUCCCCUAGUCGUUCAUCGCGUUCACACGGAGCCGCUUUCCGGGUUAAUCUUCACUCAAGAAUCCGUCGUUACAGCUUGUCGAGAAGGCCACAUCAAAGUAUGGAUGAGACCUGGAGCUGUAGAUAGCCAGAAUACUACGGCGAACAACUCGGAGACCGUUUUGAGCGGCAGCUUGAAAGAGAAACCUUUGUUAUCAAGCAAGAGUGGCACUGCUGGUUACAGGCAAUGACCAGCUGAUUCGAGUACAAUCAAUAUGAUGUGUUGAGAAUUUGAUCAAUUUGUUAUAUAUGUUGCAUUUUGGAGGCAUGAAAAUGAUAUUAAUUUCCAGUUAACAGAGCUUGUGAAGGAGAGAACCCCCCGCCCUUUGUAAGUACAAACUGCUGCGAUUCCUAGAAAGAUAUGUAUACGCAAUUUAGUUUACUGACAUGAAUAAUUGGAAUAUUUUGUGUUCCUUUCGGAAAGUUAUUAGAGGUUGUUUUCACUUUGCCUUGACAAGUAUUUUAUGAGUGUUCCCAAACUGGCCUAUCCAAGUUGCCAAAUUUUGUUCAUCUGUCUACUUCUUUUUCAUUAUGUAUCUGGGUACAUCAAGCUCGUAGUACUACAAUAGUUAAAAUUACGAUUUUUCGAUAUUACUUCGGUCUAGCAAUUUUGGUUCUACUAAAAAAUCUCAAUCAAGAGGAAUCGAAUGAAAAAAGGUUAUAUAUUGGUCCACGGUUCUACUCUCUCAUGAUUUCCCAUUUUCCCCAUGCGAAUUUUGCAUUUCAAAUGUCCUGGUUUAUAUAGUUUGUUAACUUAGGGAUGUUAUAUUUUGAUGUAAACUUAUUUUAUUGUUUAUUUUUUCUUUAGAUAAUUCUAUCAAUGUUUAAAUAUGUGGAAAAUGUGUAUAUUUAUAUGGCCCCAUAUUUAUAUUCUAUCAAUGUUUAAAUAUUUGUCGUUAUAAAUAAAUCGUGCAAUAUUAUGAUUUUUACGAUCUAUGACAUUUCACUAAAAUGAUAUUUCCAUUAAGACUUAAGAAUUACAAUCUCCAAACAAGCACGAUGUUUAUUUACAUAGCUUCAAAAUUAGAAGAAGAAAAAAUUAUGCACACACAACAUUCUAUUCUGCAAGGUCUCAUUUCACCUAGGCAACAAUAGCCGUUUAAUUGCCGUCCGAAACUACACAGGAGGCGUUGUUUCAGCACCUCCUGCCGCUGCUUCUCGUUGGCUAGGAUUAGUCACUGCAGAGAGUGGAGCUUCGGUAGUAACUUCCUCCGCCGAAUUCUCAGCUCCGCCCUGCUGGCUUGCUUGAAAUCGCCGCUGUCUUCUCCAUUUCAGAAUCUCAAUUAGACAAGAACUCGCACACAUUGCCACCCCAAAGCCAGUGAAGGUAGCUAGAAGAACUGAUAGGACAGCCUGCACAUGAAGCUGGAAUCGUCCCAACUAAGAUAAAUCAUAAACUCAAUGACAUUAAAUGCAUCAUCAUUGGGGGGGUUCUCUGGCACCUAUAAUCAGAAAUAUUACUCACCAGUGAGUAGAAAAGAUGACCUGAGAGAACAACCAGUGCGAAUUGUGCAGUUGCGUAAACCCAGACAUAUUUUCUUUUCACUGUGGUGAGGAAGUUGCAAAAUCUAUUAGCGGGGGAGCUCGAUAUUGCGAUGAAUUAUGAUGGCUUUUUGAGAUAAUCCAAGUGUAAAGCCUAAAAGAGAGCCUACCCAUUGUGGUAGAAGUCAUGGAGGCCAGCAGAACCAAAUUACAGGAAAAUGGAAGAGAUAUAGCGAUUGCACCGGACCCGAGUUUUCCCACCUGAGAUCGAAAGAAAGUCAUGUUAGCAAUUGAUGAUAGUGUUGGAAGCUUGAACGGGAUCUAGAGGCUAUACUUACCAGAAGCUGCUCAAGGAAACAGAAGAAAGCAAGCAUGCUGACUAUAACAAGAAUGGGAACGUCCUGCCAUACCCUGAACAAAACACAUACAAACAGUUUGCCAUAUAAUUAACUACUUCCACUUCAACAAAAACAGUAGGGACUGUCAAAGACAGUAGCUUUUUACUUGCCUGUAUUGAGCCAUCUCGGGAUUAUGAGCUCCAUUCCUACGGCUAUGAGAAGUUUGAAUUCGGAGGAGCGUAACUGGUAAAUUCUUGACCUCUUGCUUACACACAUCACACAUUUUGUUACCUUUGAUGCUAAACCACUUCACUGCACAUUCUUGGUGGGCUAAAGCAAGUUCACCCUUACAACUGCAUUCCAUCUUGAGGCUUUCUGCACCUUCGCCUAACUCCACCAUGCAGAUUCGGCAAACAGCUUCCUCUUCCGGAAUAUCUUCACCACCGUCGUCACUUUCAUCUGAACCACAGGACUAACAUGAGGCAAUGGUUAAUACACAGUACCCAACUCUAACAGUACUAACAGAAAGCUAGGCACAUCAUGUAGUCUAAGUCCACUAAUGCCCUCCUCCAUGGAAGCUUUUUAGUUCAAUACAAACUUUUGUCCAAAUUCCCAUUCCCCAUUUGUAACAGUGAUUAUUUUACUUCAAUAUCAACAGGUGGAACUGGGAGUGAAAACAACAAGUAGUACAAGAUGAAUUUACCAGUAUCAGCUGCAGGGGAUGGCAUUGAUGUAGCCGGGACGAUGGAUCGUGGAGUGGUCGGGAUAACACGAAACAAUCCACCUACUGAAUCCAUUUGCCUUACGCUCACAUCUUUGUUAAGAACAGGAACCGAACGAGAACGAUGAAUCGGUAAUUUCGCUUCUCCUUUCUGCAAAAAUGACCAGAAGUUAGUCCCUAAUCACAUGGAAGAAACAAGCAAGAGUGUGUGUGUGUGUGUGUGUACAUAUACAUACAUACAUACAUAUAUAUAUAUAUAUAUAUAGUAUGUUAAAUGUUCAAAGUUACAUCGGGCUUUGAAGUAAAUAAUACACCUAAAAGCUUUGAGAGAAGUACGAAUGAAACUUACAGCAUAAAUUAGUAGAUCAAUUGCAUUCCCUCCAUGGGUGGACUCGGGAUUCGAGCGAGAAAUGGGCGAAACAGGCAGAGAUGAUGCUGUGUUCUUAAUCCUCGGCGUGAGACCGAAAAGUUUAGUGAAAGACGUGUUUCUACGGAAGAAAGACCUCUCUCUGACUGCAUCUGGCGAACCUCCAAGUGCCAGAAUUGCGGCCCUUUCAACAUCUGCAGUACUUCUUCUAUACUUGAAGCUCAGCUUUGGAAGCAAAUUCUUGCGAGUAGAUUUCGUCUUGGAAGCAUCAGGGGAAGAAUCGUUCAAUCUGGCGAAACCUGGACUGCGUAGAGGAGAAAAGUUGACUCUUUUCGGCGUUGGACUCCGGUAAGACGGCAUUGGGAUUUCAAAAAAAUCGUCCCCCACUUCUUCUGUAGUCCUCGCUGGAAUCUCCACGAUCAGGUCUUGCUGCCAUCGCCGAUGCUGACCUUCCUCAAUGAUCUCCGUCGAACUUCCAGCCUAAAGGAAUUGAAUGAAAGAACAGAAUCAGAAACAGAGGAGUACUGAAUUAAAGGCAUGUGAAAAAAAAAAUCUGAAGUUUCAAACAGCGUUUAAUGACUUUCCGUGUAAGUGGAACUUCGUUCAGGCAUUAAGUCGAACACCUGGAAGAUAGUCCAGCUUAUGAACAAAUCCCAGGAUUUUGCCGCUCCAAGUUUGAAAACAUAAUCACACAACCGAUCACAGAUGCCACAACAAAGGGUAUUAAACUAAGAAAUUCGCAACAUCUGGAAAAUAUACAUAGCAAAAAAGAAAUGAAACCUGUAGGUGAAAAUUGAAGAACAAGACAGAAAAGGCACAUUAGUUACUCUUUGAAGCGAGGAAUCAACUGGGAUUCCGCCAGGAGUUCUCUGUUUAGAGGUGGCAUCCUUAUUAGGCAUGAGUUCUUCUCCUUCAUUAACCGAUGAAGCCAUGAUUAUCCCUCUCAGUCUCACAGAGAAGAAUUUCACACGUCGUAGCUAGAUGUUUUUCCAGCUGAAGUAGAAAUCUAUGGUUCCUUGAACCUUUUUAAAGAAUUCAAUGUACCGCAGUGAAAGACAAACUCCGCCUUUGCCAGGUGUAAGAGGAGGCUACUACCUGACAUUUUUCCUGCCGCUUCCUUUUUAUAUUGAACUCUUAAGGAUUAAUUAGAGUUUUUUUUAAAUUUAAUUAUGCUUAAAUAAAUUGGAUUGAGAAAUGAAAAAGCAACUCAGAAUUUAUUUAAAUGGGGUUGUUUGGAUGGUAAAAUUAUGUGUUUGGUGAUUUAAAGAUUUUGGGUUUGAAUUUAUAAUAUUUAUAAAAUGAUAUUAAUAUUUUUAUAUUUUAUAUUUUAUAUUGAUCGAAAAUUUUAAUUUAUUUCGAUAAAAAAAUAAAGUCAGAAGAAGUAACUUACAAAAAUGAAGUCAGAAGAGGUGGGUGACUGGUGAAGGUUACUUAUUAUAAAUAUUAUUACUGUUACGUAGAGGAUUAGUGAGCGUUGAAUGCAAAUUCGUAAGGGCUGCGGGAGUGAUAUAUCUAACAGAUUAAACUUUACUUAUUCUAUCAACUUGCCUAUUAGUUUUAAUACAUAUUCAGCUGCGUGGUGAAAUGUUGUGACACCCUCAUUUUUAUUAACUUAAAAAUCAGUCAAAGGGAUUUAGAGGUGUUAAAUUUGGAUCGGUAGAUUUAAUUAAUUUGAUGACAGUUAAAUGAUGAAUAAUAAUUUAUAUUUAACUUUAUUGUUUAUCUUCAAAUGAAAUUUAAUACGGCUGGUGGCUUCAUCUGAGAUUAUAACCCGGGCCAAUUGGUGAAGACUUUUAGCGCUAAUAUUUUCGUACAGUUGAUUAUGAGAGCUGUCGAUAUUUUAAUGGAGAUUGAUGAAGCUGGUUAGGAGAGUAGUUUUAAGAGGGUUGUCGACUUUAAGAGUCCUCGGUUUAGCGUUUUUUUAAACUGUCUCAAGAUUGUGUUUUUGUCAAAAUGGUCUGAGUCGUAAUUUUUCCAACUUACAAUCAGCGUUUUUCAUCCCAUUUCGUCCACUUUGCUACGCAAACCAGUCAUGCAAACACACCACAUCAUCAUUACUAGUUUGUCACCCGGCCUAUUGGCCGGUUAAUUUUUUCCGUCUUAUUUUGUUUACUGGGUUAGUUUCCCAAUACCAUUUUUUACGUAGAUAUUUUUUAGAUGUGUGUUCUAUUAUCGGAUUCUUUCUAAUAACAUACAAUUUAUUGUUGUCAAUGCAUGAAAAUUAGCUAAAAAUGAAUCUAAAAUUUAGUUAAAAAUAAUUUGAGUUAAAGGUAGUCUUACAAAUAAUAAGAGGAAAACAUGCAAUGUAAUUUGAACAAAAUAAUUCUUAAAAUGUUUUAAAAAUUAAAAGUGUAGCUUGUGAAUGGUGUAAUAUAUAAUUAUUUUGUAAAUAAACAUAAAAUAUCAAUGUUGCUAAAUUUUAGUUGAAGCACUUUCUAUCAUUUUCUUGUUUAUAAUUGGAUGGCGAUGAGUUUUAUUUUUUAUAGGUCACUACUGCCUUUAAAUUAAGAAAAUAAAUUGUAAUGCUUAAAUUAAAAAUAAUAAAAAUAUAAAUGUAUGAAAAUACUUAAUUUUUAGUUGGUGUAUGUAAAAUCAUAAUAUUAAAUAUUAAGUUGGCGUAGGAUCUAGACUCCCCGAUAAGCUUAUAUUAGUAACAAUUUGUGUACUCGCAACUNNNNNNNNNNNNNNNNNNNNNNNNNNNNNNNNNNNNNNNNNNNNNNNNNNNNNNNNNNNNNNNNNNNNNNNNNNNNNNNNNNNNNNNNNNNNNNNNNNNNNNNNNNNNNNNNNNNNNNNNNNNNNNNNNNNNNNNNNNNNNNNNNNNNNNNNNNNNNNNNNNNNNNNNNNNNNNNNNNNNNNNNNNNNNNNNNNNNNNNNNNNNNNNNNNNNNNNNNNNNNNNNNNNNNNNNNNNNNNNNNNNNNNNNNNNNNNNNNNNNNNNNNNNNNNNNNNNNNNNNNNNNNNNNNNNNNNNNNNNNNNNNNNNNNNNNNNNNNNNNNNNNNNNNNNNNNNNNNNNNNNNNNNNNNNNNNNNNNNNNNNNNNNNNNNNNNNNNNNNNNNNNNNNNNNNNNNNNNNNNNNNNNNNNNNNNNNNNNNNNNNNNNNNNNNNNNNNNNNNNNNNNNNNNNNNNNNNNNNNNNNNNNNNNNNNNNNNNNNNNNNNNNNNNNNNNNNNNNNNNNNNNNNNNNNNNNNNNNNNNNNNNNNNNNNNNNNNNNNNNNNNNNNNNNNNNNNNNNNNNNNNNNNNNNNNNNNNNNNNNNNNNNNNNNNNNNNNNNNNNNNNNNNNNNNNNNNNNNNNNNNNNNNNNAAGUUAAAAAUGAAAAAAAGAGAAAAAGUAGCCAGAAAAUGAAGAAAUUAACGGUUCAAGAAAGUUAUGCGGUAAUUUUAUAGUUUUAGAGAAAUGAGAAAAAGAGAGGUUAUUUCUUUUGUCAAAAAGAAAAAAGAAAAUAUGAGGGUAAUUAUUUAUUUUGCGCAAGUGAAAGAAAAGAUCGGAAACUCCAAAAAUAGCUGAGGUGGCAGUCAGAAAAAAUAUAUAUACAUAAUAUAUAUUUAGAUGUAAUUGGGAAAAAUUUGAUUGGUGGAAUCUCUAAAAGUAUGGAUUGAAGUCUAAAUGGACGGUUAUACUUAUGUGUCAAAUUCUAAAAUAUGAAAAUAUAUUAUAUAUAUGGUAGACUUCUAAUCAUUAGUCAACAAAAUAAAAUAAAAAUAAAAAACACAUUUCCCUCUUCUCUCCCUCUCUUCCCUUCCUGCAAAUUCCAUCUCCAGAUUUAGAAUCUGAUGGUCCACUUGGGUGGUAUGCUUGCGUGGCUGGUUCACUUGAUAAAGUGGACGAAAUGAAACGGAAAAUAUCGACGAUAAAUUGAAAAAAUUACAAUUCAAACCAUUUUAACAUUUAUUUGUGAUGGUACUAUUAACAAGCUGAAGCUCUUGAAAAUAAGCAUAUAUUCUACAAGUUACUUGUUUUUCUAUUAAUGUAUUACGAGUUAUAAACCAACCACUAAUUAAUAAUUGCCAACCAUAUAAAAUUAAUUAUCUGCUAAAGUACGCCCUUCCCCAGUUCCUCCCUUAUCCGAUUUCUACUAAGGGAUGGUUUGGAACAUGCCGUCUGAUGUUCUGUAUUUAGUUUAGUUUAAUCCAAGUUUAUUUUUAUGACCAACAAGUUAGUUGUCGUGCCGACCAUAAUUUUCUUAUCUUUUAUUAAUGUGCAUAUAGAUGCUCACAACUCUAAAGCUGCAUGCAUUUUGCUCAUAUGGCCAUAUAUUUUAUGCCUUUGGACAUUCAGGUUUGACCUCUCAUGCCUUACUUUUAAAUUAAUAAAUAGUUUGUUAAUUUAUUAGUUAAAGACUGUUAUAGCUAGAUAGAUGAUUGAUUGGCGAUAUAUCCUCAUCUUUUUUGUUAAUACAAUUUUACUGAUUCUAUUAAGGUUAAACAUGGGAUGGAUGUCUCUUGUCCAACAUCCAAGUUGGGGAGAUAAGAAUCUAGCUAAUAACCCUUCAUGAUGUGUGUCUAAAUUUUGUUGAUUGUUGAAAGUAUCAACUAGUUUAAUAAACCUACCAACUGUAAUUGUACACAUAAGAAGACAAAGGAAGUAUCAAGAAAAAUCUGGGAUGAUAUAGACAUGUGACUUAGAAAAAUGGAAUUAUUAAAGGGUUAAGGUGGUGUGUCGUUUUCAGAAACGGCCAAUAUAGAGUAACAGACAUGAAGUGAGAGUUGUCUUGUACUCACUCACAAACUCACCUAAAAGUCUAAAAACCCUCUAAACCAGAGACUGUUAAUUACAGCGUGUAACAAUGAAGUUCGUACCUCAACGUACGAGAGCUUAGCAUCAAUUUUGGUAGCUUGUUGAUGAUAAUGCCCCUCGUAAGUAAGUGAAUAUUUAUUUAUUAGUUUUCUGGCGUUUCUAGCUAAUUAAAUAUUUAUUAGGAAGCCCAGUGGUUUUGGCGGAAAGUGGACUUUUAAACCCUCGAGUGGGACUAGGGUGUUUAAUUUUGGCCCGUAUUAAUAACUAUUUUGUUUGUCACCAGAGCUCAUAUUUGUACAAAGCCGAUUAUAAAUACUCUAUUUCUAUAGGUGAAAAUUACAAAUGGAACAACCUUAUAGGUAAGAGAUAUAGUUAGUAAUCAACAUUGUUACCACAGACUAGUAUAUCAAAAGAACAUGUAAAUUUGAAUUGUUUGAGACUUAAAUCAAAUAUAUGAGAUAAUGAGGGCACUAGGGUAAGAACCUAGGCCCCAACAGAUUAGACCAAUGGAACACGAAGGGCAAAAGUUCAACUAAUUCAAGAAAGUCAUAUGUCAGACCUGGGGAGAAAGGGGACGUUUCCUGCCGAGUCAGGAAAAUGGGUGCAGCAGCGACGAAAUCGCGACGAAUGAUGAUGGUUCGAUGUACUAUAUAAAAGUUCAAAUAUAUUGGGUUAUAUAUAGAAAAAAUGUCAAUCAACCAAAAAAUAAAAUAAAAAUUAUAUAUCGAACUUUAAAAUACGAAAAUACAUUGGACCGGAACUCAAAAGAGACCUCCUGAAUCCGCCACUGUGGAUGCUCAUUAUAUAAUGAUAAGAUCAAUGUGCAUAAAUAUUUAUUGUUUAAUUUGAUGAUUUUUUACUGACUUAUAAGUUAUAAUUGACUUUGUAUAAAUAAAAAGCAUGUACACUGCCAAAAUUCAAUAAGUAGAUGUAAAAUCAAAAUCAUUUUCACGUUUUGUUCGCUCUGAGCUCAAGCUCUACGAUAAUAUAUAUUUCGUUUGCCAAAGAAUGUAGAUUAAACGGGACAAUUGUGGGCAACCGGUCGUCACCAACAGGAAUUCAUUAGCAACGGUUAGAUUUCCCAUUGCUAAUUUAGUAUGAUGACCAUAUUUCUUAAUUUUAUAUGAAACGAUCCCACUUUUGAGAUUCUUUUCAUAGAUCGUGACAAAAAAGAUCAAGAUAACACAUACAAAAUCUAAUCAUCAGUUUAUUCCGUCGAAUUAAUCUCUACCUGAAUUGAAAGAUAUGAAAGAAUCUUUUCCAUCAUUUUAUUAAUUUUCGAGGAUAUUAAGAACAUGAAUUAUAUUAUUACUAACCAUAGAAACAAAUCCUACAAUAGUGUCAAAUAUGUCAUUGUCGAAUUAUCUCUCGUUUAUUUGCGGUUAACUCUCCUACACUACUCUGUAUUAUAAAUAAACAAGUCAUGAAGGAGAGGGUGGGCGCGUUGACUAGGCUAUUAAUUAAGCUCGCCUAAUUACUUGUUUAAUCCCCAAGAGCCGUUUUCCUACAAUAGGCCGUAAGGUUACAAGCCAUACAUAACUUUAAUUAGUCCCUUGUUCCUUGAUUUUCAGUGCAGUAUUACUAAUUAGCCCCCCCCCUUACGUUAAGUAUGAAUGUCUGUUUUGGAUGAUUGAUUCUGAUGAAUAAAUUAGCAGUCAGCUAAGCUAGGUUUGGAUUUUCUACUCCACACUUACAAAAUGAAAGAAAAAGACUUCAACAACCUGGGCCCAUCUUCCACUCCAUUUACUCCACCAUUAAACUUUGUCUUGAAAUAGAUGGCAUGCUCUCCCACUAGGCCCAAUCACUAACAGAUUAGGUCCAUGUCUUCACAGAGGCCCAUAUAGUUUUAUUCGGGCUUCCAUUUCAUCCCAUCUACGGAUCUACCUCUGCUAUCGUGACUGUCAAAUUAUAGACAAAAUUGAAAAGUCUACAUAAGAGCAACUGUGUUGGAGUUAAUUGUUUAAGGUUGAUUAUGUACGAUUUGACCGUCUAGUUUUAAUGUACCCUAAUUUAUUAAGUAGAAUUUUGAAGUUUGUACUUUUCAGGUUAUCUCAGUUGAGCAUGUGGGGUGUGUGGUAUUCGGGCAAUCAUUGAAGAAGUGCUGGAUUUUUUUACGGUACAUGUUUUCGUUUGUAGGGGUAAGUUGUCUCGCAUGGUGCUAACAGAACUAUUUAUAAAAUAGUGAGAUAAUUUUUUUGAUAAACUUUUUUAUAUAUCUCGUUGUGUUGAAACUAAUUUCAUAAUCUAAAUAAAUUUUUAAAUUUAUUUGUAUUUACUAUUUUANNNNNNNNNNNNNNNNNNNNNNNNNNNNNNNNNNGAAGAAACCAAGCCUAUUUGGUCAAUAUCAACUCAAGGGCAUAUAUGAGACAUAAUCUUUGUAGACUGCCUCAAUUUGAUGGUUAAAAUUUCUCAAGUGAAAUGUGAAAUUUACUAUCAGGAUAAAGCCACACAAUACAAUCCCAUAUUAUAAAUAUUGUCCGGCUACUAUUCUAUAAUACAGAUUGUCUUAAUUAUAUAAGAUCGUUUCUUUUGGUAUAUCGAAUGUUUCUGUGUGCUCAAUUUUUUUAGGUAACAUAAUCUAUCAUGAACGUCUAUUUUAUUGGAUUGAUCUCAACGAUUAGAAGCAAAUUUAAUUUUAAAACUUAAUUUAAUAUGUCCAAUAUGAUCUUAAAAUUCAAAUAAUUAUAAAAACUCAUCAUUCUAUUAUUUGCUGACUAAUAUCUACUUUCAAAUGAGUAUGCCACUUAAUUAACUAACGAAAAUCCACCUGAUUAAUUUCAUUUUCUCCAUUGUAUUCUCGAUCUGUUCAUCUCCACCCCUAAUUUUACCACUACAAUCUAAAACUCUAGAUCUCUCCAUUUUGCUCCUCAUCCCCAAAUCAAUCAUUUCGGAGGGGAGUUGUAGCUUGUAAACAGCUUUAGCAAUAAAGCUUGACUGCUUUGUUGUAUUUGAAAUACACAUAAAAUAAUUUAACAUUCAAAUACAUAAUUUUAAUUUAAAAAGAAUUUCAAAUUUAUCCCUCUUAAAUACAUAAAUUUAAAAUUCCAAAUAUAAAUACAUCUAUCCAAUAAACCCUUAGAAACUGAAUUAUAGCAGCAGCACAUGGAACUUAAAAGCCUGUAGAACACAAUAGAUUUCUAUAAGAAACCAUAACUAUAUGUUUAACGAUGACUCCCAAAUAUAUCGAUUAAAUGGCCGCUCGAUCUCCUCUCCCUCUCCGCCUUCUAUUUUUUGUCUCGAUUGUCCGACGUCUAGGGAGUAUUCGGAGGGAUCACCUUGUCCUCUGGUUUGAUUUGUUGUUUCUCUACUGAGGUCUCGUAGCUUAACGCUCAUCGAAGUAUCACUGCUCCAUCGAAAUUGAUGGUCUCUUCGACCCUUUCUCCAUGUUUCUGGACGAAAAUCAUGUAUGUCUCUUUCAACUGGAAGUACAUUCAAUGACCAAACAAUUAGAUUGCUCGACUGUUACUCCAGUGAACGUCAAUUGAAGCUUUGAUCGGAAUUUUUUUUGUCAAAGUUUAAGGGAGAAACGAUCGAUGAGGGACAUAACAAAGAUUUUUAAUCGUGAGUUCUCGAUUGAAGGCCAAGACCUAUCAAGAAUGGAGGAUAUGGUGUUGAACUGGUAAUGAGCUAUGGCUGAGAAGAUGGAGAAAUAACACAAAACAUUACUAUAGAUGGGGAGAUGACUCCGUUAUCACCUAUAAUUAAAAUGAAAGAAAUAAUCAUUCGGACUAAUGAAUAUCAAAUAUUUAGAAUGAUGAAUUUGUGAAUUGAAAUUAAAUUUGAUAUCAUAUUAAAUAUGUUAAUUUAAAUUUUAAAAUUUAACUUUACCUCUAAUCGUUGAGAUCAAUCAUGUAAAAUGAAUGUUUAUAAUAAAUUAUGUUACUAAAAAAUAUUGGACGCAUCAAAACUAGUAUACAGAAAAAUUUACCUAUAAUAUAUAAUCAAUAUGAUCCGGAAGCGAACCCAUAAUGAAUAAUAUAUAUAAGGUUGACAGUACGUUAAUGAGCAUUCGAAAUCAUGAUAAUGAUAUUUAGUUCUAAAAAUCCUCGAAAGACACGAACGAUCAGCGAUCCGCCAGCUGGCCCAAUCGCCCACCGUAUCCUAUUCCUUAGCGAUAAUACAAAAUAAUAAUGGAGAGAGAUGGAACUCAACGACAACCCACGAGCCUGCUCGUCAGACCCCGUUUAAAUGCGUAUUCCAUCAGAUCCACCUCCCCUGGAACUUUGAAGUUGGGCUUCACGGUAAGGACAAAAUCCAUGUUUUAUAUGCCAAUCAAACAAAUCUCAAUCGUUAGAUCUCAUCACUAAGUCUGACCAUCUAGAUUUUAGGGGUAGUAACGGUAUUUCACCUCCCAAUCCCAGCCAGUCACCGCCAGCGGCCACCUCCGCCAUUGCCGCUAGCGAACUCGUCGCCGCCUCCGUGCACCUCGCUGCAAAGAUCCGAAAUAUAUUGGAAGCCCCUAGUCUGUUUCCCGUCCGAUUAAACUGCCAUGGGCUCCCAGCGCUUGCGCUACGAAGUUGCUCACCACACUGCCGUCGUCGAUGCACGUGUACAAGAGUGUAAAUAAAUGUAUUCAACAUAAAAGAAUGAAUACAAAGGUAUUCGAGUGAGCAUACAAAUGCGUAGGCUAUAAAAAAUGAAUACAAAAACAAGUAGAUGAGUCUGAGCACAAAUGAUUACAGUAUUAAAACGUGUACAUAUAAAAACGAGUAAGAAACAUGUACGUGGGUAUAAAACACAUACAAAAAAUGUGUACGAUAUAAAAAAUGAUUACAAAAUUAUACGAAAGAGUACACAAAUGUUUAUAAUAUUAUAUAAAAUUGAGUAUUUGUAAAAAAGGAGUUGAAAGACACAUUCACAUAUACAUAACACAAGUACAAGACAUGUACAUGAAUAUAAUAAAAAGAAUUGAACACCAACUUGACUCCAACCUCAUGUAUUAUAGCGAAAAGAGUAUUUUAAAAAAAUAGUAUGUGUGAAAAAUGUAAUACAACAUGUCGUGAACAAAAUCUAUAAAAAUAACUCCGACAAAAGUUGUCCGGUAACCAUAUUUUCUUAUCAGAGCUCCGGUAACUAAAAAGAGUUCUGGCCGGUGAAAUUCGUCGGAUCUACAGGCCUAACCAGUAACCACUGGAGAUGCUCAGUUGCUAUUUCACAUUAAAAAAAAAUUCAAGAAAUAACUUAUUCACCCCUUAAAUUUUGAAUUUAAAUAAGUGAUCCAAAGGCCAUUAUUGAUCCUUGUUCCGUUUGAAGCAAAAUGCUCCUUGCCGCUGACUCAGGAUCCCUGGUUGGCCACUUGGCAUCAUUUUUCCGCCACGUAAUGCAGAAACCGGACUCCCGAUUUGGACUCUUCAGUGACUUUACACCUACACACAUACCGCUCCCUCUCCACGGUCCGUUUUCUUAUUAACUCCGCUCCCCUCCCCCACUUUUUAUCGCUUCACACUUCGCCUUUCAUAAUUUCUCCUUCUCCCUGUUCUCCCAAAUUGCAGUUCCGCCAUCUUGAGAAUUCAAAUUUCUGGGUUUCUUGAAUUGAUAACAAGUCAAUUUAUAUACUUGGUGUCGGCGGAGAGAAAAUCAGCAUGUAAAGUGGGAUUUAGGGUUCAGGCGAUGAUGGGCGGGGUGGGUUGGUUUGAGCCGGCGUCGGGGAGAAGUAAGAUCCCGAGGAGGGUGUGGUUAGUCGUUCAAAAAUCAAUGGGUCUCCUCGUGGGUGGAAAUCACACCUCCUCCAGGUUUUGCACUCGUUAGUUUCUACGCUUUCUCUAAACUGUUUUAUUCUCCUCCUUGUUUUGACAAGCAAUCAAACAUCUUCUCUACUUUUCUUCCGGUGAACCAAAAACUGUUCUUACUGUCACUAAGAAACAACAAAAAGGUACAUUUGGUGCUCUAGCAAAUGGAAUUGAAAGGGUUUAGAUCCCAGGCCGUUACCGAAUCUGGGGCCAAGCACCUCUACCUGCGCUGCUUCGCGCUGGCUUUGAUCCUCUCAACAAUUCCCUUCCUCCAGUACUUAUCUGGAUCUGAAUCUACGCUCUUGGACCCCAUUUGGGGCUCUCUCGAGUGCGAGGAAGGCGUCAAUUUGGCCGCCACUGUCAUCAGGGAGCUAACAAGCAAGCAACUUUUGGAUCAUAACGCUAAAUCUCUCUGUGUCGGCGAAGGAUCGGCCUCUGCUGUCUAUGCAUUGCGCGAAUUAGGAUUCGCCAAUGCCUCCAGUGCCGAUAGGCACCCGUUCUUCUUCUUUCCCAAGAAGAAGAAGUACGUUUACCAGCUCGAAUUCGAGGAUAACUCGUUCGAUUUCGUCUUCUCCUCCGGGGACCUAUCUGUUCCCGUUAGUCUCGUCCUCGAGAUCGAGCGAAUUCUUAAACCCGGAGGAGUCGCUGCUGCUCUUGUCAGCAGCUCGGGCAGCUCGAACAGCGGUGAUUUGAUGAUCCGUAACAACAACUUGGUUAGAUCAGCAAUGCCGAUUUCCUCGCUGUUGAAAUCCUCCAACAUUGUUCAUGUUGGCUAUCUCAACAAUGGAGGCUACACUCUGGUUGUUUUCAAGAAGAGAUUCUACUGUGCCGAUUACUUCGAGCGACUCCGCUUACCUUCCGAAUGCCAUUCCGUUUCGAACAAUAACCCCUUCAUCGGGUUGUUAGAGCCGGCUGUUCAGAGCAAACACGCCGGGUUUGAAGAAAAGAUUGCUUAUUUGCCCAAGUUUCUGGAUGUUUCUUCCAGGAACCGUAUGGUAUACGUAGAUAUUGGAGCGGGGGAGCAUCUCACCUCGAAUAAUGUCGCAUCAUCUUGGUACUUGCCGCAAUCUUAUCCGAUCGAUCACAAGUCCUUCAACGUCUAUAUGGUCGAUCACAACACCUCGGUGUUGCAUUCCUUCGUGAAGAGGCCCGGUGUUACUUUCGUAUAUCAUCCCGGCCUAGCUGGCAACGAGAAUGAAGUCCGAGACCUCGACUUCGAGGAUUUGGAUCCGUUCGUGGAGGAUCAGGGGUUCGAUUUCCUCGCCUGGUUCCAGGAAACUGUGAGGUAUGCGGAUUUCGUGGUGAUGAGGAUGAAUGCCGGCGAGGCUGAACUGAAGUUUCUGGUUGGUCUGUUUAGUACCGGUACGAUUUGCUCGGUGGACGAGUUGUUCCUUAAUUGCUCGGGGAAAGGUUUGGCUAAUGGUGCGGAAUGUGUGGGGCUGGUUAAGAGCCUUCGUGCUGCUGGGGUGUUCGUGCAUCAGUGGUGGGGAGACUAGAUCGAGCUGGACUCCGAUCGCUCGCGACUGGAUCGAGCAUGCUGCUGCCUGCUUUUUUUUUUUUUAUCGUCGUUGUCUGUUCGUACCAAAAAGGAUGUUCUAUUAAGACAUCCAGCUGAUGUUUGGCUUGUAUGGUUGGGCCACUUGGUACUAAAUAAGCAACCAUUAUGUGUGUUUUGUUUCCAGUGUAUGUUGGUUGGCUUUUUUUCUGAGAAAAUUGAUGUACUUGAUAUAAUCAUGUACUCAAUAUGAAUCUAGUGUGGAUUUGUUACUUUCUUUGUGGUUCUACUCUAUGUAAUGGUUUGAUUAUGUUCUAAUCGUUUAUUUUCGUCAUGAUUAUUUGAGGAUUAUUUAUCUUCCCGGUCAAGUCCGUCUUUAAUUCUCACAGACGAUAUAAGAAGCGGUGGGCGGAAUUCUAUUUAAUGCGGCCCACAGUUACAGAGAGGAGGUAGGUUUGCAGUAGCCCUUGUUUGUGGGCUUAGCUUGAAAGUUGGGCCUUCAAAUGGGAUGAAUUGAUAGGUGAGAUUAUAUUUGGCAAUUCUGUCGGCUUAAUAUACCAUAAGUUCGCCGAGGUUAACGAUUAUUAAUUACAUUAAUUAGGUAUUUUGAAAUUAUAGUGAUUAUUAUUCGAUUUAAAAUAUUUCAUAUGUUGCUUUUCACAUAAAUGUAUUUUGGUUUUCACAUAACCGUCAAAAGAGGUUAUAACUGUUACAUCUGUCAGAUUUGCGAUGUCAUACUUCUCCAAUCAGAAUUCGACAUUUGGAAUUAAACGGAAUUUAGAUUCCAAAUUCGACGGAAAUGGGGAUGUUGCUUUGUGACUGCGGUUCGACGAAAUUGAAACGAGUGUUUGAAAUUAGCCCUCGGGCCAAUUUCGUGGCAGAAAACGUGCCCUCUCUUCCUCCUUCAUGUAUGAUUUAAGAGUUAUCAACGAAACAGAGCAAUUUUCCAUUGUGCUGACAAGUAGAGCCGUUCACGAAUCGAAUCGAACCAAAAUUUAACUGUGUUCAAGUUUGGUUCGUUAGUUUUUAGGCGAGCUCGAACCUAUUUGAUUUUGGCUCGUUAACUACCUAGGAUGAGCCAAACUCGAGCUAAACUCGAACUUCACUCAUUAAAAUUCCCUGAUGAGUCUAUUUUGAACUAAUUUUGAAGUUUGUAUACUAGAAAAUAUCGACCAGUCAAAACUAAAAAACAAGUAACUUAAAAUAUACAAAUUUCUAUUUUUCUCAAUUAAAAUCAUUAAACCGCACAACAACAAAUUACAUAUGACUUGUAUUUUCAUUAAUCGCACAACAACAAAUUACAUAUAAUUUAUUAUUAUAAUUUGACAAGUUUGUUUCCCCGACCCAAUCCUUCAUCGAGAGACUUAUUAGUUAUGUCACUUUUUUCUCAGUUUCUUAUAAAAAAAUAAGUUUAUGGACCGAGUUGUAAAGUAGUUUCUUCCUUCACUUGGGUCAGGUUUGGACCAACAAGUCAAAAACCAGACGAAAGUCAACCAAAUUUGUCAAUGGGUUCCCAGAUUCGGAAAGCAGGCGUACACAAGUACACGACACAGCAAGAAGACUGAACAGUCAAGAGCUGAAGUGGUCAAUCUAAUUUCUUACUCAGGGAAUUAGAUAGGAAGAAUCAAUAACAAGAAAAAUGUCGGAUACGGCAUCAUCUUCUUUUUAUCUGACAGGUCCUUAAUUCAUAGCAUAAUGAAUGUUGAUUUUUCAACCAUUAAUCCCCACUAAUCACUUUGUUUUGUAUUAUUUGUGUCCAUAUUAUUUAUUAGUAAAACAAAGCAUCAUGAAUUUUUCUUCGCCGCCCUAACUAAUCACUUGCCAUUUUUGCUGCCGUCACCUUCCAGUGAGUUAGUUAACCGUUUACUGUAUUUCUGUUCGUAAUCGGACUUUUCUAAACCAGUGAAUUUAUUCCCCUAGAAUUGGGUUUGUGAUUUUGAAUUAGUUUCAAAUCAUUUAUAUAAAUAUUUAAAAAAAAAAGAUUUAGCGAGAUUUAAAAUUACUUUGUGAGUCUUAAGAUAAUUUUAUAAAGAAAGUAGAGAUUUUGAAAAACCAGGAAAUGCUGUAAUACAAAGUACUAAUAUAUGGCCCCUAUGAAGUAGUGCAAUCGGUAGCUGUGUGCUAACAACAUGAUAGGUUUUGGGUUCGAAUAUUUUUGUAACCAGGAAAUGCUGUAAUACAAAGUACUAAUAUAUGGCCCCUAUGAAGUAGUGCAAUCGGUAGCUGUGUGCUAACAACAUGAUAGGUUUUGGGUUCGAAUAUUUUUGUAACCAGGAAAUGCUGUAAUACAAAGUACUAAUAUAUGGCCCCUAUGAAGUAGUGCAAUCGGUAGCUGUGUGCUAACAACAUGAUAGGUUUUGGGUUCGAAUAUUUUUGUAACUUUAUGGAGUAGUGCAAUCGGUAGCGUUGUGUGCUAACAAUAUGAUAGGUUUUGGGUUCGAAUCUAGCACACCCCAUAUAGUGAUAUCAAUAGUAUAUAUGUUUAUUUCGUCUCCUAUCUUUGGUAAUAGCUUCAAAAUAAAAAUAAAAAGUGCAAAUAUAUGGACAUUUCAAACUUCUACAAAUACAAAUUUAUGGUAAAGGUAAACACAACAUGAUGGUUUAAAUUCAUUGAAUUGUUUUGUAUUAGGGAUAUGUAUUAGUAGAAGUACCAAUUUUAUGUAUGAACUUAAUCAAAAUACACAUUCCAUUAAAGUUGGAGUUUCAUAUCAUAUUUUGAAUUAUGGAAUUGGAAAGUUAUCUCCAAUCUCAAUGCAAUUCACAAUUUUUUCCUAACCAAAGUUUCAAUAAACAAAGAACAAAUUGGAAACUUCCAAGUAGAAGGAGUCUCAAAUUCCCAGAAGAGCCCCCCAAUCUCCACGCCUACGCCUUUCUUCCUCCUUCUUCGUCGUUCCCCUCAAAUAUUUUGUCCUCAUUCCCCUUCUUCUUCUUCCCCGAAACCUGAAAAUUUCCCGACUUCUUCCAGUCCUCUCCAUUUUAGGAUUCCUGACUACGAAGAUAUAACUUCUCCUUUCUCCCGCCGAGAAGAGUUAUGUGCAUUGGGCCAGCAAUUCUGAGCAUCAAAUGAAGGUCAAAUUAUGUGGGUCAACUUGCUUCGUGUCUCCUGAACUCAAACCUAUCACCGCCAUCACAACAGGUACGGUCGAUGAUUCAAUUUAAUCUGAUAUGUAAUCAUCGUUUCAGUGUUAUCUACUGAUUGUACGUAUAUUCAGGUGAAGAAACCUCUGGGAACUUGCGGAUAUUCACUCAGAACGAACUUAAACGGGCUACUCAAAGCUUCUCUUCUGUCAACAAGGUUGGGGAAGGUGGAUUCGGCUCUGUUUACAAGGUAAUUUACUCUCUUUUCAUAAACGAUCAUAUGGGUUCUAUUUCUAUAUAUCGUUUUUCGGUUUGAUUGUAUUGUGUUACUGUUUCCUUUGACUUCCAAAGGGUCGGCUACAAGAUGGUUCCAUGGUGGCUGUGAAGGUUCUUUCACUAGAGAGUGAAUCGAUGCGCGGGGAGAGACAGUUCGUUUCUGAAUUAGCCGCGCUUUCCAACCUCAGGCAUGAAAAUCUGGUCACCCUCCAAGGUUGUUGUGUUGAUGGAGCGGAUAGGUAUUUGGUGUAUCAGUAUAUGGAGAACAACAGUCUUGCACAUAAGCUACUUGGUACAAUGCCUCGGGAAUUUUUUAGCUUUUGAACAACAUAGUCAUUGUAUGAAAACAAUCUCAAUCUUAUUUACUGUCAGGAAAUGAUAAGAACAGGAUGAAAUUCAGCUGGGAAGCAAGGCGAAACGUUUCGAUCGGGGUUUCUCGUGGAAUUGCUUAUCUUCACGAAGAGGUUAGCCCCCAUGUGUUGCACAGAGACAUUAAAGCCAGCAAUAUACUUCUGGAUGAGAAUUUCACACCCAAAGUUUCGGAUUUCGGUCUCUCUCGAAUUCUGAGAGAGAACAGUUCUCAUAUCAGUACAAGAGUCGCCGGAACAUUGUAAGUGGCAAAAUCAGAAAGAAAGAAAGCAAAAAGAAAACAUUUUUCAAGUUUUUCUUCCUAAACUGAAUAAGCUUGGUAUGUUGUUUGCAAAAAGGGGUUAUCUUGCUCCGGAAUAUGCAGUCAGCGGCCACCUGACGCGAAAAUCAGACGUUUAUAGCUUUGGGGUGUUGCUCAUGGAGAUUAUAAGUGGUAGAUCAGCUGUAGAUUUUGAUGUAGAGCUCGGAGAGUAUUACCUGGUUCAAAAGGUCCAAACUUUUUGUACAAUUUUAAGCAUGAUAUUUUCUGAUGUAACUUAUCAACUUACAACAGACUUCUAGAUAAUGCAGGCGUGGAGCAAUUACAAGAUAAACAACCUUCUUCAGAUAGUGGAUUCUGCUCUGAAUAUGAACUUCCCAGAAGAAGAAGCUCUAAGGUUCAUGAAGGUCAGCCUUCUCUGUGUGCAAAAAACUGCAAAGCGCAGGCCAAAGAUGUCAACCGUGGUUGAAAUGUUGAACAAUGAAAUCGAAAUGGAAAGCUAUGAGAUUUCUGAACCUGGUUACCUCUCUGAUCUGAUGGGAAUUAGAUUGCACAGAAGGUACACAUCCGAAACAAGUUCCUCAAAGAGCUCAACCAGAACCAGCAUGUGAACUACUACUACUGCACAGAUUUUUUAGUCACCGAUUUUGUAAAAGCCAUGCAUAAUGUAUAAUAGAGAGAGGGACCAAAUUUGCUUAAUUUUCCUAAAAAAAGAAGCUAUAAAGAUAGUUGCAUUGAUUUUUUCAUAAUCAUUAUUUCCGGAUUGUAAACUGUGUCAUUUAGUCAAUAAAUUGUCCAAAGCCUUCAUUUUUUUAUAAAUAAACUCUGCUUGCCAAGAACAAAGAAUCUGCAGAAGCAAAAACUCUUGUGAAACAGAGGAACAUGGUUGGAGAUUUGAGAUGACAAAUGUUGAGUUUAUUCUUUUUACUGGCCCUACCUUAAACUGUUCUGAAACUGACCAAUCAGAACUAUUAAUGCAAGUGGCAUUUGCAUUACAUUAUCGCAAGAGGAAAAGACUAUUGAAAACAACAGAAGGAGACAUUACUGACUAACCAGGGUUGACCGGACUGGAUACAAAGUUUGGAACUUUGGUGCAAAAAAGUAAAUGGAACUGAUGGAGUUGAUGGUGGGUUGAGAUAAAAAAAAAAGCAUGCAUGGCUCCUCGUACGCCAUCCAGCAAGCCCCACCAAGACUCUGUUAAUGAGGUCUUGCAGAUGGCAUACAGGGAGCCAGGCACGGCAAACCCCUAAUCAACUCCAUUCUCCCAUUGAGAACUCUGGUAAUGGAGAACUUCUUCAGGUGUGGAAAUGAUUGAUGAUGGUGAUGAAUAAAUAAAGAAAAUGAAAGGGCUGUUAGCUUCAAGGGCAAUACUCAAAUCAAAGUUUGCUUUUUUGAGGUGGCGAGUUUGGCAUGUAGCAGAGAGUAUGAGAUGGCAAGAAAAACAAGAAACCACAGCGCACAAGAAUGGUGUUUGUGGUGGGGGAGUUGUUCUUCUUUCUGAUCAUUUGCAAACUGAAAGAGAAGAACGUGAUGGGGAAGAUUUAUAGCGUCAAAAAGCAUAGUGGGCGUGUUGUGGUUUCAGUUCUCCUCUUCUGAAACGGAUUUGUCUGCAAGUGCUUGGAUGAGCAUAUGAUUCUUUCUUCUCCAAGGAAAAGCAAUAUCAUGUCAGAAGUUUGAAAAUUUUGAACACUUUAUUUCCCUUUUUCACUCUCUCUUUUCUCUCUCUUUCUCUUCCCUCAACCGCCCAUGAAAGUGUGAUUCUUACUUCUCACCCUUGCUGCAGUAGCCAAUGAGGCAAAGUGCUCUGUGUUACUAAUCUCCUUUGGCCCCCUAUUUUCAGUUGGUUUUGGUUCAGAGCCAUGAUCCUGAAACCGCAAGUAAAGAAGAAGCAAAAGCAAAGUAAAAUGUGCUUGUUAAUAAUAAUAUGAAAUCCAAUCCGAAUCUUCUUUUAAUAAUUCGAUUUGUUGGGACGCAACGAUUCAAAAUAUAUACGAUGUCAGAGCUAUACAUGACCGAUGGUCUCAGUUUAAAAUACGAAUUGGUGCACAUGAUUUAUCAAAGUUAUGCAAACUUCAACUCUUGAGUUUGAAGGGGGUUUGCUAAUGAAUAAUAUAAGAACCAAUAUGAACUUCUCUCCCAACAAUUCGAGUUAUUGGGAUGCACCAGUUCAUGACCUUCUCCGUUUCAAAUACCGGUAGUCGUUAAUCCAUGCACAUGACUUAUCGAAAUUUUGAAAAAUUUGGUAUAAGAGGGCAAUGAUAAUGAAUAAUGUAAAAAUCAAAUUGAACCAUCUUACAAAUAACAACUUGAAUUAUUAGUACGUAAAAUGAUAAAUUAAGGUUGUAACUUCCAAGCUUGCCAAUAGAAGUAACAGCCAAUUGGGUGGCUGGAUGUUUGUAUUUGACACAGGCCUUUUUAGUGAAAUUGUGUAACACAGUAGGAACAGAGAUUCCCAUGACAAAUAGCUGAAAGACAUAUCCUAGAAUUCCUUUUUUUUCUAAGGAUGAAUGGGGUUUGAGAAUGGUGGUUCUUCAGAAUAGAAACCCUUGAAAAACAAUGGAGAAGUGAACCUAUUUGUCAGAUUCUCCCUCACAGGCACUUCAGCUAUAUACAUAUGCCAGUCUCAGAGAGGGAGGGGGGAUCCACAUCCUGUGGAAUAGGGAGAUUUGUGGAAGUUAUGUUUUAACUUACAUUCCUCUCUAAUCGGAUCUACAACUAAUAAUUGGUAUCUAAUUCAAAGGUAAAUUAUGAAUGAUUUUAGCUCAUGUAAUCACAGAACAAUAAAGUCUAUGAGAAUUGAACAUAAUCAAUCAAUAACAAAAAAAUUCAUUUAUUUGGAGUUAGUUUCACCAUAAGUAAUGUUCACAAGUAGAAUAUGAAUAUCCGAGAAUCGUAAUCAACGUAAUACAUAUAUGUGUUGCAGAGUAGAUCGAGACUCUCGAUCAAUAUAAAAAAACUAAAUAUUACAUUAAGCUCAAUUCAUAAAGUAUACUAGAUUGGAACCAAAAUCUCAAAAACACCCAUACACAACAACUCUACGACGGAACUCACUCUAUUUUACAUCAACAUCGAAAUUUCUACUUAUACAUUUUUUUUCUACACUCUUGGCUAAUUGCUUUGGUCUAUUUUUUCAUCAAUUCCUGGUGUGGAUAAAAGACCGGCCCAAGAAGACCUUACCUUUACAUUAAAAUUAGACGGGCUUCAGUUACAACUUAUGCGGGGUAAAGGCUUCUGUUAAACUGGGCCUAUGGGCUGUAACUUUGAUGUCCUUUCCAUUAAGUGGGCCACACUAUUGGGCUGGUUUGUCACAACUCUCGUUAGCUGGUAAGAAAAGACUAUACAAACUCAAAUGUCCAAACUCCAAAAGUAUUGAGUACCGACUGAACAGUGAUCACCAACCAAAGUACACCUUCUACUAUAAUAGAUGAUAAUUCGUGACAUUUUAAGAAUUUUUAUCUUAAAUUUACUGUUAUAGAACCCACAAUCCUACUUUAUUUUGGAAGAAAAUGCUCUCUGCCCUGAAAACAAAGUAGGUAGCUUUCAAAAUAGUAUACACAUGUUCAUCAUUUACUUCAUUAGACAGAAAAAUACGAUUUCUUAUUAUAAAUUAUCAUCAUUGCAGAACAACCGUCAGCAACAUACAUUUGCAGCAGAAAGUCAACAAACCCAUUUUGGCCACACAAAAUAAAACCAGGUGACCCCAAAAAGGAAUAUCAGAACCCAAGACAACAAUAAAAUUAAAAACACCAAACCAGAUCAACACACCACAACAACUGAUCGAUACAAUAUAAUUAAUGUACAGUUUCUUUCUCAUUAGUUGACGUUGGAAGAGCUCCUGAAGGACCCAAGCGCCUUGAUUGCUCCGGCUCUCAAGAUGUACUGGUGGUAGAAUGCUGCUAUUGCUGCUCCAAUGAACGGUCCAACCCAGAACAUCCACUGCCAAUAUACAUAUAUUCAACCCAGUCAGCACAUUCCAUAACAAUACUGAUAAAGAAAACAGAGCAAUGUUAGAAAUUAAGUUGUCGGAAAUGUACUUGAUCAUCCCAAGCCUUGUCCUGGUUGUAGAUCACUGCAGCUCCGAAGCUCCUAGCUGGGUUGAUUCCCGUUCCGGUCACCGGAAUCGUCGCCAAGUGGACCAUGAACACCGCGAACCCAAUUGGAAGUGGAGCCAGCACCUGUUCAAUUGAUCAUACCAAUGAUUAAUCACAAGCUAAGUCUAUAAUUAAGAAAUCCAUUACCAUCAGGCUGUUGAUGAAUGACGAAAUAAGCAUUUCAGAUCGGUACACUUUUAAUCGCAAUUCAGUUUGGUUAAAAAUGAGCCGGCUCGCAAGACGAACUCGUGAGUUCAAUGAGCUUGGCUCACAGCCCAACUUAUUUGAGACUCGAUUACCAUGCAUUUCGACUAAGGGUGAAGAGUGACCUUCGUAGAGGCUCGGUAAUUUUGCAGACUAAAUUAGUCUACAUCACAAAUUGGUUAUAGAGAUUUUAAUAUUUCAAACAUGUUUCUCUUUUCUUUCCAUAAAAGAUUAUUAUGUUGAAUCACAUUGAAUGAACAACCAUUUACUUAUUUAGACUAUACUUAUAAUAUACACUUUAGAUUAUUGUAUUCUUUUUAAUAAAUUUAUUGAGUUAAACUCGAGAUUUAACUCGAUUCGUUAAACUUGCAAAUGAGUCGAGUCAACCUCAAACUCAUUAAGAACUCUAAAUACGAGCCAAUCUCGGUUAGGUUGAGACAAACUUGAGCUCGCUCAAAAAGUAGACUUGCAAACGAGCCAAUCUCGAGUAAGCUGAGCGGAACUCGAGCUCACACGAAAUUAAUCGAGCCGAUCUUGAACUCGAUUAUCUUGGCUCGAGUUAAUUCACACGAGUAUUAGGAAUGAAUUAAGUAAUACUCACGGGGACAUGGGAGUCUCUGGCGCUUCUCUUGGGGUCAGUAGCAGAGAAGACGGUGUAAACAAGAACAAAAGUUCCGAUAAUCUCGGCACCAAGUCCGGUCCCUUUACUGUACCCGGCGGCGAGCUCAUUAGCUCCGCCGCCGUACCUAACAUAGUAAGCCUUCUGGAACGCCUUCACCAGACCGCACCCACAAAUGGCUCCAAGGCACUGAGCCACAAUGUACAGAAUCGCUCUCACCAAGGAAACCUUCCUCGCCAAGAAUAAACCGAAAGUCACGGCGGGGUUGAUGUGUCCGCCGGAGAUUCCGGCGGUGCAGUAGACGAGGACAAAGAUCAUGCCGCCGAAAGCCCAGGCGAUGCCCAAGAUUCCUACGCCGCCGCACGGGUCGGCGUUGUCGACCUGGCUUUUGUACCCGAUGACGGUGAGGACGGUGAUGUAGAGGAAGAGGAGAGUUGCUACGAACUCGGCGAUCACGGCUCUGUAGAGGGACCAUUGAGUUAGCUCCUCCGCGUCGAUCAGUGGCGCCGGUGGUGGGUCGUGGUAGUCCUUCGCUGGGUACUCUGCCGCCACGUGUCCUCCUUCGACGUCCUUCGCCAUUUUGUCUAUGGGAUACUAUAGAUGGUAAUGUAAGAAGAAAAUAAAGUUGUUAGUUUGAUUUGUGGGAAAUUGAGUGAAGGGGUCUGGUAUUUAUAGAGAGAAAUUAGGGCCAAAUCGAGUCAAGCAAAUUUGAUUAUUAAUUUGUUGGCAAAUUUGAGGUUAAAUUUGAGUUUGAAAUUUUUACUUUGUAUAAAGUUUGUGUUUAACUUAUUAAUUAUUUUCAAUGAGUUAAAUUUGAAUUUUUUUUCCAUUUAUUAAAACUUUAUGAUAAGUUUAAUUUGAGGUGAAUUUGAUGAGAUAAAAUGAUGUAGAUACCACUAUAAUUUUAAGUUAUUAUAUCGUAUAUCAUUAUACUUAAGAUUUUCAACCAAGUAUCAUUAUAAUAAUGAUUUUUAUGCAUUUUACUGAUUUUUUUAGAAUUUAGCAGGUUACCAAGUUAAUGUGGCUAUCACAUAAUUUCGAAUGGGAAGCAAAAUACAUAUUAUAUUCAAGUUUUGUCUUGAACUCGAAGUCAUACCAAAUUAAAAGCCUAUUAAAUCGAACAUAUCAUUAUAUUAAAUUAGCUCAUUUAACAAUUUAAAAAUCUAUCAAAUCCAACAUGUCCUCGUGUUAAAUUAGCUCAUUUAAAAUUGAGCAACACUAAUUAUUGUGAUGUGAUGGAGGGUCUGGAAAUGAUUUAUUUAGCUUAGCUUUACCGCCCAUUAUUUAUGAGUUUUCUUUUCUUUAGCAUGACCCCAUAAUUUCUAAAGGUUCGUGAUUGUGAAUUGUUGCGACUCCCUGUCUGUCUUUCUGACAUUAGGAUAAGGGUCCAGCGAUUUCUUAGAGCAUACAGUAUUGUUUAAUUCACAAAGUAAUAUGAUUGUUCAUAAUUAAAUAUGAUUCUUGUGUGGUUGGUAUGUUCUAAUUGUUGCAGUACGGUGAGUUGGAGCUGGAGACAUGGUAUCUUGCGUUAGGUUUAUCUUCAUGGUUCAGUGUUUUCAGGCAUGUGGGUGUUGGUUAUUCGAGAAGGAUGAAAUCACAACAAUUAAGAUUAAUUAGCAGUUUGAUUUUAUGUGGUGGAGAUUGAAAUAUGAAUGUUAUGCUAUUAUCAAAGAAAAGAAGUUGGAAUUCUUGUACUCGCUGGGCCGAUGCUCUUGGGUUGAGAAAACAAAGUGAUGAUGAUGCCUACGAUAUUACAGUGUAGAGGAGAAGAGGGCCAUUUCAAAUACAAUGUUCAAACAUCACAUCAUUUUUUUAUACGAUUGUUUAUACAAGGCACUUGAGAGUCAAUUAUCAUGCGUUGGAACUUAAGUUUACUCUUUAAUUAGUCGCCCAAAUAAGUCUCAUCAUCAUUAGCUUCUGUAUCACUACCUACCAAGUACCACCACCGCCCAUGAUCAUGACCCAUCUUGCUUCUCCUCAACCACUCCUUUCUCGCCACCUGUCUCUGUCCCCACCACAGCCGCCGCCACCUCCAGCCGGCCGGCCGCUUCGAUCAAUUAUGUUUUUUCCAACCUGAAUACCAAAAAAUGGUCUGGCUAGCUCUUAAGCUAUAUCUGUCCCGUUAAUACUAGUGGGCUGUUCGUGGAUGGAAAUAUGACACGCGGCGUGCACCUGCUAAUAAUAGCCCGGAAAAAAUGGUGGGCUUGUGGGACCCGUGAUGAGGUGUUGUGGUCGGUUGUCGACUUACUAACUCCUUUCUCAGACUAUAUUUUAUUUUCUUCCCGUUGGGCGUACAUCACAUUCAUGAUUCUUCUUCCCGUUAAGUGGAGAAAAUUUGUGGAAAAUACAUGAACGAACAGCGAAAGAUAUCAGAACUGGGAAUAACAAUGCAUAAUAUAUCCAUUACAAUUUCCUCCAAUUGGGCUUAAUAGUGUAGAUAGGAGGUUGGUGUUCCUUUGAAAUUACAAUCCAAACAUAUAUUGGCCCACAAAACAUAAGUUGAAGGCCCAAGGUCAAUGUUUUUUUUGAACAAGUUCAACUGGAUGAGCCAUUCUUUGGAGUUAGGAGCUGGCUCCAGGCUUGUGGAGCUAGUUUCCUGCGAGGCUGCGAAAGGGUGAUGUGGAGGUUCUUGUAGUCUCAUCUCAAAAGGGUGAUUCUGAUUCUGGAAUGAUGUUCCCCAAGGUAUGUAAUUGUUGAAAACAGACUCAAUUUCGACAAACUCUCAUUUCUCAAUUGACAAAGAAACGGUUUAGUUGAAAAGUUUCCCUUUAUUAUUUUCCAUGGUGGUACUGGUUGGGAGCUAGACGGAGCAAAGAAGAAGUAAGAGUUUUGGUUCUAUCUUACUGAUCAGAAGAAAGCACAAAACAACUGCAACAAUAAAAGCAGCAAGAACAAAGGAUUUUACACCCACCAUUAGUUGUUAACUUGAUAAAGAAUCCUUCCUUGGUUCUUUGGUAUCUUGAUCCAUCCCCCCUCCCCCGUUUUCUCUGUGUGUACUCCAAAGGUACAUAAAGGAAAAGAUUUGAAUGAACUUGCAGGAUUUACAUAUUUUCUGUGUUCUUCUUCCUUGACGAGUCCAGUUGAGUUCUAAUUUCAAAUUUGUUUGUUUCAUUGCAAGCUAUUAUCUUCUCAUAGGAAGUCGUCGCCAAAAAUCAAAGUCAUAAACGGAUAUGCUGGCAAGGGGGACGUUCAAUGGAUACGGAAGAGCGGUAGGGAGGGUGUAGUGCCGGUGGUGGGGAGAGGUCAGAGGAGAUUUUGUAUUUUCAUUUGUUAGCUAAUUUAAUUUAUUUUUAAUUUGUGGGACUCAUUUGUAACUUUUAUGAUAACCACCUCCACUUGAUUUUUUGUUUAAUUUAAAAAAACGUACAAAAAUAAAAAAAAGAAUUAAAAUUACUCCCUUCAUUGUUUCCCAACUCUCAAUCAAACAUAAUUGGGCUAUCAGCUUUGCUCUACCUUGAGCAACACACCAAUUUGGGUUUCAUAUAAGAUUGUAUAUUGAUGGAUAAUACAAUUUUUUUAAUAAAUUAAACCUCUUUGUUAAUAUAAAAUAUAAAUAUAACGUUGAUAUCCUUUUAUGGGAUGUGUUAAAUUUGAAUCUGUAAUCUUUAAAUCAUCAGACACACAAGACACAAUUCUACCUAUAAAGCAACUUCACUCGAACAAGUAAUACAUAUCGUGAUAAAAAAGCUAUACCAUAUAGGUAAGCUUAACAAGUAUUGAGCCACAUUGGUGAAAGCUUGCGUGUAUCACAAGAGCACCCACGACGCAAAGUUGAGCCUUCCUAGUGCUGUAUUGUAUGCAAAUUGAUUUGACCAAAAGGGAGGGUAGUUGUUUCAAGUUCAACAGGGGAAGACCAGAAUCUUCCAAAUUUAAUGUUUGAAUUUCUCUCUUCUUUCCAAUUUCUGUUUCAGUCAUUCUCAUUGCAUCGAGUAGUGAUGGAAAAACUUCAAACCAUUGGGUCGACACAAAUGCUGGCGUUCGAGAUGCAGAAAACACAAAGGAAGGACAUCAACGAUUUGCACUCUGAAAUCCAAUAGAAUAACUCGUAGCAUAUAUCUCUGUUUCAGAUUAGAUAACAAAGCAGUAGAUGCAGAUGCAGUAUCACUCAGGCAGCCAGAACUACCAAGAAAAAGUAGAAAAGAAAAUAGAGGGAAAUCUACAUAUUUAUUAGUUACAAUCAGCUGGAUUCAUCUUCCUCAUCUUCUUGAUCCGUAUAUUCUGCUUCCUCUACUUCCGGAAUCGUCUCUAAUCUAGUAUUCUCCGAACUAGUACAGUACUUUGGCGGCGUACAAACGAAAAGUGUAGGCGCCACCUCUGUCCAAGGAUUCAAGCCUUUGCCAAUAGGCACCGCCAUUCGAAACAGACGAUUGACUAACUUCAACUUGCUGCUUUGGUUGAUGGGAGAUGAAGGUUUUGAGCUAAUUAAGCUGUCCUUUUUAUAACCCCAGCUUGAAUUGUUAAGACGAGAGAGGAGGACAAACAAACACAAAUGAUGGUUGGUUCAUCGAAAGAUGUAAGUAAAAUGUGACAAAAUAAUGUUGUAGUGAAUUAAUGUGUGCUGAAAACGUGACAGAAUGCCAUUGGAGGAAAAUAAUGAAGUGGGGUUGAUGACGUGGAGACCUAUGCAACGCACACUUUGCCGGUUCAUCUUUCGUUGGAUAUUUGGACGGCUCACAAUAUGCAGAGUCUUGUCAAUCAUUCAUUACGGGUUUGUGGAGAUCUUUUUGCUAGUGUGCAUUAAUAUUGGCAGCUAGUGCCGUUUUGGCGGAAUGUGAUUGAUCAAGUGCGUUCCUCCGUCAUUUUUUUUGUGAAAUUUUAUCAAAUGGGUUCCAUCGAAAACACCCCAACAAAACAAGAAUCUUGAUACUUACACUUAAAUGUACUACGUUAGUCUAGAAUCAUGCAUAGUACUAAUGAAUAACAACGAAGAUGUUGAAUAGUAGGAUUCCAUCGACACUCUGAGAGAAGAAUGACGAUCUAAUUGCAGCACGCUAAGAGAAGAUUAGUUGAGAGGAGUGUAGAUGGAACGUUUAUCAUGUUUGUUUUAUUUGAUCGAGUUAUAUUAUAACCAUAAUCUUUGUUUGGUCUAUUGAAUUGUUCAAAUUUCAGUAUGCUUUGUAAUUGAAAGAUUUGAAUUGACUGUAACAGCUCCAGUGAACGCAGAGCUGUGGUUUGUCAUACAGGACACUUCUACCUGGAUGAUAUCAACCACGAAUCCGGCAUCUCUGUUUUCAUAUCGGCGUGUUAUUUUGAGGUGUAAAACAGAGUUCUUGGGACCAAAAGAGUCAGCAAAAUACUGAAAAUGAUCAUGAGGGAUCUGACCAAAUUACAAGCAGAGAGAGAGAGAGAGAGAGAGAGAGAUGGGCGAACUAGUGAAUUAUGCUUUAGUUUGAUCAUUUACAUAGAGCAGGAAGUACAAUCGUGCAGUAUAUCCUGAUAUCGCUUCAACAAAAUUGCGAAUUGGAACUAUAGAACGAACACAUAUAUAGCUCAGAUCAGGAACCAAAAUAAAAGAAAAGGAGAUAUCAUCUGAUUCUUCGGGUUCAUGAAUCAUCGGAGUCUGCUUCUUCGGCGAUGGUGGCCAAGAUGGGAGAAUAAGUAGAUUUCGAUGGUUUACGAGGAUGAAUGAUAGGAGAAGGAGCCACUUCUAUCCAGUCUUGCACACCUAUGCAGCUUGUUCCCUUACCCAUGAUCGCUUUGAUUUUGGUCGAAACCAGUUUAAAUUUGGCUUGCUUGCUUGCUGUUAGUGGGAGAUGCUCUGUUUUGAGAGUCGUGAAUGACUUGAAUGGUGAAGGUGGUGGGUUGGCUCCCUUUUUUAUACUACUUCUUGGAAGAAAAAGAUUCGUGGCUUGUUGGACUGAGUAAAAGAACAGAUACUUUGUUUACUUACUUUCAACUUGACCCAGUUGGGAGGCGGAUUGGUGUUCCACGUGGUACCACUCAAUCGACGUCGAUCGACUGCAAUUAUAUGAAGCUUUCCCGGAAACCACCCAAGUUCAGCGAAACUUCCAGAGUCCAGAAGCCAGACAAAACCCUGAUAUUUUUCAACACCCAGAGUCGAUACACGUCACCCAAACAAAAUUAUCACAAGCCAAGCCCAUUAGCCCAUCA